GAGUCUAUUCAGGAGUGCAUUUCCCUAGCGGACGAGGUGAUUUAUGCAAGAUCUUGUCAAAUUGAUUGAUUUAGCUGGUGACGAAAAAGAGCACGAAAUGCUACUCGAAAACGCGUAUAGUAAGUAGUCUUCGUCGAUGGGACCUCCAGUGUAUGCGUUUCGAGGCAACUAGCAUUUUGUCAUUAAAGUUCGUGAAAGAAUGUUUCGUUGGAAAAACCAACGCCGAUCUAAAACUAAGUCUUCCUUUCAAAAGUGAGCGAGCAGAGCUGAAAAAGAUGGAGUUACCUGGAGAUGAGAUUUCUUUCUACGGAUAUGAAGGAUAGAAAUAUGUUAUUUGCUGCUAUUCCAUCUAUUUGUGCAUCAAGUCCAAAGAAGAUCUCAAUCUAUAAUGAAGAAAUGAUAGUAGCUCGUUGUUUUAUAGGCUUUCUCAUAUUCAGUCGGAAGAGUUUAGGUAAGACUUUCAAAGAAACUCUCGACGGGAGAAUCGAGUCUAUUCAGGAAGAAUUGCAGCAAUUCUUCAAUCCUAACGAAGUAAUUCCGGAGGAAUCCAAUGAACACAAACGAUUACUUAGGAUCAGCUUGCGAAUUUGCAGCACCGUAGUAGAAUCAUUACCAACGGCACGCUGUGCGCCUAAGUGCGAAAAGACAGUGCAAGCUUUGUUAUGCCGAAACCUAAAUGUAAAGUCAGCAACACUUCUAAAUGCCACUUCUUCCCGCCGCAUCCGUCUUCAGGACGAUAUAGUCACAGGUUUUCACUUUUCAGUGAGUGAAAGAUUUGUAUCCGGGUCUACGUUCAAAGCUUCUACCAUAGACCUAAUUCGAGAAGGCUUGAUAGUCCUAAGAAAGGUGAGGGUGGGGGGUUCUAUUUAGGAAGAAUAAGAAGAAUCUCAUUCAUGUGUUCAUGCUAACAGAAGAGCGGAUCCAAUACACAUAAGACUUUUUUUCAGGAAAUUCCUAAUGUAACUGAUGAAUUUGGGAUGUCAUGCCCCACAAGUUAGUUGCCCAAGCGCUCCCUAGGAGGGCAGUCUACCACAAGAUAGAGUUUGAGCCUGGAGCCAAAGCCCCAACCCCUCCAUUUUAGGUUUUUCUCAGGAAAGAAUUUCAGGAAGUCAUAUCGGCCAGAUAAGCCUCUGACGGCUCCAUAUUGAUUUUUCCCCAGUUUUCUUUCAGAAGAAGCGGGAGCCAUUUUGCAUUGAAACUUGGUAUCAGCAGAGUCAUCUCCUGAGAAAGACUUCUUUCUUAUUUAUACAAGAUUUCAGAGAACAUAGUGAAGCCCUCAAAGCGCUAACAAAGUCGUAAGUAGAGAAGUUUUCCAAAAAGAUACCUCGUUUUUCCAUUAAGUGUGCGUUGUCUGAUGAAGAAUAACGGGGGAGCCAACUCAAUAACCUAGCGGAGGAACCGUCCGGACUUGAAACAGCGGAUGCAACCCUUGCAUUUCGUUCUUUUGUUCUUUACUCUAUUUUCGCUUUGGCACUCACUUCCUUUGGAAUAAGGGCAUUUUUCUUCUCUACUCGUUCCAUUGACCAUCAAACAGUUUCUUAAUUAUGUUAUGUCAAAUGAUGGGAAAAAGGAAGGAGUAAUCAAAAAAGACUAGAACUACCCGAUCCGUUGAAAUACGAUACGAAGGAAACGGACUUCAAUCCCUCAUUCUUAUUGUUUGUUCUUCUGAUCCCCUUGUUUUUAACUCGCUUAAUUCGGAAGAGGAAAACGACAGCAGCUAAAGUGAGAAAUAAACAACUGCUCGGAAAGCUUCGGUUUGAGCGUUGGUUUUGAUGACAGUGAAGAAAGCUCGCCCAAAAGACGUACGUGGAACCAAUGAUACCAAAAAAAGAAUCAAAUAUGAGGAGAACUGGGUGCAUUGGUAAACGGCUCCGCCAUAGCUUGUACGACUUCUGAAUCCUAUUAAUGGCGCUCUCCGAAUAAAUAAGUAGAUACAGGCGGACUACAUACACGUGCUCUCCGAGUAGGGAAAGUGAGAAAUCUACGGUCUUCCAUCCGCGGAUGUGACAAAUCCAAUCCAAUUUGGUCUUGUCCCGUGGCUCGGACCCGGUCGCGUAAAUGCAGCUACCACUACGACGGGAUACUAUAGUUAUUUACUCUGUUUCAAUCCCUAUUUGGCCAUUCAACAGUAGCGUACGGCCUUUGGAAAGCAUCUCUUCCUAGAGGGGACUCCCGCUUGUGAUCUUCUUCCUUGGGUCGGAGAAAAUAGAACUUACCAAUUGGAAAUGGAAAUGCCGAAUGAAUUGAACCAAACUACAGAAACUGUGGUUGAGCCUGCCUGUCAUCAACGAAGGAUGGUUGUGAAGUUGGUGGAAGAAAGCAAACCAAUGAAUGCAGCUAGUCACCCCGAAAGGCGAGCCCAUGUCUUUUGAGAAACUGACACAACCUGUUGUGUUGACUUAUCUUAUACUAAGGGUCCGUCCCAGCCAACAAGGGAUUUCUCAUAAUUCUAGGAUGAAACAGCAUCAUAUCUCAGCUUGAUUAUGAGAGAGAUUGAAGUGAAAGAACCCGGUUUCAGAGCGUGGAAACGGAAAAGAAUGAGGUGAAAGGGCCGACCCAUGCGGCCCACUUAGAAUGUGCUUUGACUUCCCCAGGUUGUACAAUAGCACUAUUUUCUGGACCCAAGUUCGAAAGGAUUAGGGCACUGGAUUGAAGAAUAGCUCAGUCCGAUAGAAACUUAGGUUGGGCUGGCGGAGGGUUGAGUGGAGCUUCUGUAUGACAUGUACUGGUGUUUCAUUAGUCCCUUGAUCGGGUACCCGAAGCUCGCUUUGAGGAAGCAGUGCCAUUUGGUUCUUCCUUCUUUCACGUCCAUCCGCGAAUGAUUUGAGAAUUCUUUUCAUCACUGUUUGGAUCGCAGACUUGACCGUUGUCUAUAGAAAGAAAGUGCUCACUCGUUUUCUGUUUGUUUUCAUGUGCGCAUACACUCAGCCUAAUUUAGUAAGUGUGAAGUGGAAGGGCGAGUACGGGUGAAAGCCCACUACCUUCCGGAUAAAAGAUAUGCUCGAUUUAUAGAUAGCUUUGCUUCACUAUAUAGCGUGGGACGAAUUGAUAAGCUCUGAAUGCAGGAAGGGAAACCUUAGAGCUUUCUUCGCUUAUCUUCCCAAGCAGACCAUAUGAUUCUCAUUAUUCUAUUUCUCUGUCUUCCGAACCAGCAUUCCCGCUUAUUCUGAUUGGAGUGAUGUGUGGUACCGGGGAUAAUGCAAUUGAUGGUGCUUGUGGCCCCACGGAAUGACCGUCUAAAAGGAAAUAGGCAGCAAGGGAGUUGGGUAGACUAAAGAUACUGCCUUUAACCCUCUGCGGCCUUUUUUUUGAAGUCGAGUCGUAAGGAAAGAUCGAUAGGAUUUGGUCCAUUUGGUGUCCUUCCAGACGGAGAAGCGAGAACCCUUUCUGCUUUGACCGCUUGCCCACCUGGCACAGAUGUGGGAAAAGGUCUCAGUUGCGGAAUCAAAUAUGAAUGAAGUUAGAACAAUCAGCGUAAGCUCUUUCUCUAGGGCCACUAUCAAUAAUGACAAGAACUCUUACCAACUAGCUUAACGCAUCCGGUCUCCUUCUCCUUCGUACCCCUAGCGGAUAUGAAUAAUAGGAAGAAACAGGUCCUUUCUAAAGGCGGGCAUUAGACCAGAGUUUCGUGAGCCGGAGAAGAUCGAUAAAGCUUAGAACUUGCUCGUUUGCAGGAGGAGGCGGUGGUAUGACUCCGUCCGUUGAACGAGCAUUUCGUGCCACCUGUUCGGCGUCCACAUCCACUACCAUUUUCUGAUCCCAGUAUCUAUAGCAAAAUCGCUAUUUGCCUCACUCUAUAGAAGGCCUCCCGUAUGUAAGAUCACCAACCAAGUUCCUUUCUUCUUUUGUUUGUGCCAUCUUUACCAACUUCUACUUCUUGGCUGGCUUGAUGCUUACAGGUCUUGCCUCUGCUGAUACUGGUCAUGGGGACAAGAAAUCCGUGGGAAGAGAGCAGAUACCAAUCCUAAACAACCCUUAGAAUGGCCUCAUCCAAACGGAUGAUUGUCAUUGAUAAGACGGGCAGGUGGUAUGUUGAUACUGAGCCGCUUCCCAUGUAGUUGUUAGCUCGUUCUUGACAAAUCCGAUCGGGUCUUCAUAAUCUGGAGUAAAAGGAUUCGAACCUUUGCAUGCCGAUACCAAAAACCGAUGCCUUACCACUUGGCUAUACUCCAAACAAACGGUAGGUUCCUGGAGAACCGUGGAAACUAGUUAGUUCAAGUCGAACUCAAAAGCAAUGCGCAUUAUCUACGCCUUUUUUUGAUUCACCAAGACCCGCUAAAGGCUGAUACAAACGAAUAGUGGGAGUUCUUUCUUAUGAAUAUAAAUGGUGGAAAUAUCCCUAGUACCUUUGUCCUCUGCAAAGAUCAUAAGAUCAGAUGGAGUUGGAUUGAUUUCUCGCAUCUACUAGAUCAGAGAUCAGAGUCAGGGGAGCUCUCGUAAGUGAGCCUAAGUAAGUAGUGUGGUUCGAGCGGAUCAGUCACCGCUGAGUUUUGCUUUCCUCGCAGAGUUGGUUUUAGCCGGAACCGCGCUCUUGCCUUCUUCUUGUGCCCCUUGAUUAUUGAUCUGAAUUCAAGUUAGAUUAGAGAAUACCGGUGCCUUUUGAUCCACCCUUAGGUUUUAAAACUGUGGAGGUUCAGUUACAAAAUGCAGUUUAUGAGGCUACUUUGUAUGCCAGUGUGCAGGAAGGAGAGUUGGAAGAUAUACCUAGAUCCCCCAAUAGAGAAAAUAGCGAGCAGAUUACCUGCUCUUGUGGUGGAUGGCGGCACUAGAAGUUGAUGUUUUUUAUGGACGGACAUAGAAAUUCGAUUUCCAAUAGAGCUGCAAACGCUACUGUAAGCCGAAGACGAAUGCUGGCCAAAAGUAAGCAAAGCAGGAGAGGCGUCGUUUCCUUCAGUUGGUCAACCAACAGGUCUCCUCACUCUAGCAUUUCUUCUUUGUUCGGUCGCAAGGCAGGGAAAUGGAGGAUUUGUUUCUGCUCUGUCCUUUACCGCAUCGAUGGAUUCCAUUUCAGUGGAUAGAGCUCAACCUGUUGCCAUCGUCAUUUCAAUCACAAUUCACUUGGUAGGUAGGCGCUUGUUCCGACCUCCAUAGUGGCACUUUGAUCUUUUCUCAACAACAUCUACUUCUAAUCUGCUUGAACGGCCCUCUUGUCAUUUGACCCAGAAUUGAACGAGAUGACACCCACCAAUAUCUUCCAACACAGGAUCUCCCUUACAGGGCCGUCCUUCUCUCUUUCUUCCCAAGAACAUCGGGGGUCUAUUCUCUGAACGAGUCAGCACCAGCCCCGUUACCAAUACGGGGAUCUCGGCCAUGAGAACUUGUAGAACUUGUCUCUUGAAUUGCAUCCCCCCCUAGGCCGACCAGCUAAGUAGGACCCACUUAGCAAAACAGGUCUAUAGGGCGCUAGGGAAGGGGUAUAGAGUGGUACUUGAAUCUAUCUAUAGACAUAGGAUCCCCCAGCCACUGGAAUCCAUUGGUUUCUGUCUCAAUUCAUCAUUUGAACUGAAACUAACCACGAAGGGAAAAGAAAAGAAGGAUUCUAGUUUGCCACUACUUGGACUCAACUUGGACUUUCGGAGGAGCGAACCAUUUCCAUUAAUAUAUGACUCAGUCAUCGCCAAGAGAUCAUCAUUCUAAUAACAAGGAUCUAGUUUAUAUAUCUCGAAUUGGGUUCCAUAAGAUGCCAAAAUAGUGGAAGUACCAUCACGUCUACCUAAAGCAAAUGGUUUCUAUAGAUUGAGAAAUGGUUUCUAUAGAAUGAGAUAUAGUCGAAUGUACCUUUAAUACUUCACGUGCAUUCUUCGCUUAUAAAUUUAGCCAAGAUCCAAACAUCUCAAUCUCUUCAUACGUUCUUCCUGUUGAACUCUUCUUUUCGCUCAACAAAUGCAAGUUCGUCAGGGUUUGGUUACUAGUUUUCUUGGAAGGGUUUUCUCCCUUGAUCUUUUCCCUUGUUAUAUGAUUGGAAUGAAAGUAGGAUUGUUUAUCCAAUCCAAACUAUUUAUUGAGGGAAAGUAAGAUGAAUAGUUGGCCCUAUUGUCUGUGCUCUGUUCUGUUAAGGAUUUCUGUAUUGGAAACAUAGGCGUCCUGCUAUUCCCUGCUCUAGUUUCAGUUCAGUCAUAAACCUAUUGCCCGGGUCCUUUGAUACUUGAUUUCCUGGGUCAACGGUACCUAGAUUCCCCUUUGGCUUGAUCUUACCUUGGAUUUAUAAUUGGAAUACAGAUUGGAUAAACAAGAGGAACUUGGAAAAGAGGGUUGGCCAAAGCAUAACGAUAGUGCAUUCAAUCGAUUCCACUCUAGUUUUGCAUAUCUUUUCCCUCAAUAAAUAGUUUAUAUAUGAAAGAAAGUGCCAACUUAUUGUUCUUGGAAUGCUGAUUCCAUGGAUUUCUUCUUGGCAUAUCCCCCCUGAUUUGAUGACCUGGCUAAAACACCUAUUCCUUUUUUCUGGAAUUGCAGCCGAAAGCCUGUUUGCAGCAUCCAUAGCAAUACGUGUUAGUACUCAAUUUCUUUGAUUUUCAUUUGAUGAAGUGAAGACACUUAUCUAUAUACCAUUUAUAGAGUGGUAGAGUAAUCUUGCAAUGCGGCAUGAAUUGGAUGACUUAAUAGUUUUCUGCAGUUUAGUACUAACAUGCCUGUGUGGUGAACUAACUACCUUGGGAAGCAACAAAUAUGCCCCCAAUCACGCUGCCUAUGUGAACAAAUUCUAAAACUUUGCAUAAGCAGCUUAAUUAAGUAGAAAAACCUAAUCGAUAGCCUACUACUUAUACUUCUUACUUUCACUUUGAUUUAUACUUUGACUUUCGAUACCUCUCCCCUAGUGUACUCGAGAGCUUGAAGGGGAAGACAGACUAGAAGACUUCCACACCAUAACUUCCUUCCUUGGCUGACUGCCUGGCCUUCAAGAAACUCGAAAAACUGUAAUAACUCACUUCACUAUGAUAACUAUCUUUCGAACAGGACUACUACUUAAAGGCUAAAAAGACCUACCGCGACUGGCUCACUUGCUUGAAGGACUAAUGAAAACAAGUCGAACUAGCUAAAAGGACGUAAGCUAACAGCGAAACUCAAACAAAAACGGAUGCUGACUCCGAUAUAGAUAUUGAGGAUUUUCUACAAGCCGCCGCCUCACCCUGCUCGCUUACUUCCCACAUGCUUGCUUAACUCACUAUCUUUUGGGGUAAUACACUGUAUAGAUAGGAAAGAGAUAAAUGAAAGAAAAAGAAGAUAUAAAUGAAUUGAUAGAGUCAGAUGAUGUCACUAGCUUCAAUGAAAGGACUAACGAGAACUUUGAAAGUUCUUCCUAUCAGCAUUAGUCAGCUUUCGAGUCCUUCAAGCGAGUGCCGCAGGGAAAGGAAGAGUAUUUCAUCAUGGCCAUUUAUUAGGACUACUUGGAUAAGUUAGGACAGUUUCUCUAAGGCUAGCUGUUGAGUUAGUCGGUUCAUAGGUUGUCGUAAAAUAUGGGUGUAGGAAGCCUGGACUCUGAUUAUCGAUUAUGAAAGCGAGGACUCUUUUUCUCUCUCCCCAUUAAUGGAAAACUAUCUUAACCUCCUUCAGCAAGUUCGUUAUCUACAAGUAAGUUAGAGAAUUCCUGUUGUCAAGCUAGUUAUCUUAUACAAGACUUUUCUAUAAGGCCUGCAAGCAGGUUCAGGUGGAAGCAGGAAAGUAACACCACCUGGUUUUAGACCGGGUGUAACUCUUUCUCUUUUGCCCUUUAUGCCAGCCUGUUCCCUAAGUAGGAUAAGUUCAUUGUGUUAUUACAGGUAGUAUUGCUCUCAAAGCUAGGAAGGAAAGGUAAGGAGUAAGCUUAUUUACUAAGAUCCUAGCGAGUGGAAUACUUUGAACAAGCAGGGGAGCGAGCGGAGUACUUUACGCAAGUAGUGGUUUACCAGGAACUCGUAUAAGAGCUAGUCAUAUAGUCCUUGAAGCAUUAUUCCUUUUAUCGGUAGGGCUGUUAGCAAGGAGUUUGAAGCUUGAGUACUUUCAGCUUUCCUGUUUUAGCUAGGAAUGAAGUUGGUUCAGAGGUGUCAAGUAGAGAGGUUAGAUCUUCUCUUCCUUCUCAUACUGCGAGUAAUAUCUCUACUACACUUUCCACUUUAUGUUGAUCAGUUUGAGCAUGAGCAGCUCGUUCAGGAGCAGCCGCCCGUGGAACUCUUGUUUUGGGGAAGCAAUGAACAUUGUCUUUUUCCAUUCUCAAUAAAUGAGGAAGGAGGGGUGAGGUCCUCACUUGCGAGUGAGGCAAGGCUUUCUUUUAGAAUACAUCCUACCCGAUUUUGGUUGACGAUUGCGUUCUAUUCCAAUUAUUCACUUGUUUUUCUUGUCACUGUGGCGAGACCAGAUGAGAGAGAGAACUAUUUUCCAUUUCCAGACAGACCCCGAGCCGAGGUUGGAACAAUUCUUUAUUUUCUUGUUGGUUCCUUCUUUAUUAUUUAUUCCAAGUUUUUCUCUUCCAUUCGGUUCAUUAGCUUUAGGAAAAAUAGAAGCUGCGGAAAUGCUCGCUUCUAAAAGGCUUAAAGGCUCUGAUCAAGGCAAUGAACAUUUUGCACUUUGAAACUAAUAAGAAAGGAAUUCAAAUCAGAGUUCAAUACAGACUUUUUCUCUUUUAAGAAGGGUGAAACUUUCCUUCCAAUACUUGUGCGCUCUACCCAUCUCUACUAAACAAACCCACUACACAUCGAGUGGCAGGGUAUGUGUGUAGGCCUUUUCAAGGACAUUCGAAACAACAUGUCGAUAAAUUGCUAUAGAAAGUGGGGCUAGAUCGAGAGUUCUGACCUUUUCGUGGGUUGGGUGAUCUUCAAACUCUUGUUUUUCUAGCGAAAGAACACCCUUCUGAGCGAUGAUCUCCUACAAGCGAGUAUAGUAAGGUUGACUUCAAUUGAGACAGAAAUGUCACUGGUCAGCUCCUUAGCGUGACAAUUAACACCACUUUCUUAUUACCUAAGAGAUUAGAUAAGGGAAGAAGGCAGACCAAAGCUUAUAGAUUCGGAGAUCGUACUUCUAACGCUUUGUCUGAGUCAGUCCUACGACCCCUUCCGGCUGAGACACGAAUCCUAGCCUAUCUGAGUCGCAGAAUGAAGGGCUCUUCAGAAGGCGCCGCCCAAGUCUCCUUUGAGACUUCGGAGUCAGGAAUUUUUUUUCCAAGGAAGGCGGAUUUUCUGCGUUCCGCAGCACGAACAGGGUGUACAGAAGAUCGAUGUGCCAUCUUUCUAACCACCUUCAUUUGUUGUAUGAUCAGUAGGGAAGGGAGCCUUUGAUAAAGGGACCCCCAACCAAGAAAUCUACUGUCUCAGAGCGACAGUCAAGCUUGUAUCGCGGAACUAGAACAUUUCUUUGAUUGAUAGGUCAGAUAGGAAGCAGGCAAGCAAACCAAGUUAUAGGUUUGGAAGUUAGAACUCGGAAAGGUUGUCCUGUGACUACCUUUGAAGUCUUUGGGUAGGACAUCAGGCUAAGGUCUUAUGAUGAGCCACGCGCAUAUGAGGUUUACUGCAGCCCUAAAGCUCUGUCCCCUAUCCUACCACUAGAUCUCCUAUGCCGGAACAUGAACAGAGAAAGCUGUGAGUGUAGUCUUAGGAACGAACCGGGGGUUGCUCUCGCAAAAAGAUUGUACUAAAGAAAGCUAGAAAGCUCAAUUCCAAGCUUUAAACCUCUGGUCCACGGGUCGGUGAACGAAUGGGUUUUGGGAGAUAGAGAACAUGGACUCGAUUGAACAAAGGUGGCACCGGAAUGAAUAGCCCACUUGUUUCGGGCAAGAAUGAAUGGGACUGAUCGACUUGAGUUACCGAGCGACCUCCACUCUUCGACUCGAGCUUUCGCUUCUGCUUUUCUCUUGUUUUGAUUUAUUAGCUUUUUAGGGAAAGAAGAGGGUCUGAAAUACAACUAUGUCUACGAGUGCCGCGAAUGAACCUUCGGUUCUUCCCAAGAACAAGGAGACACGAACUAAAUAACUCGUAUCAGGCUACGGGAAUAGUGAACGGGAAGAAGGAACUAGUGAGGCUUUCGUUGGUCAAACAAUAUGCCCUCCUCACUUGAGGAGAGUGAAGGUCAUGACUUAUUGAAGCAGAACGUCAAUUGGCCAAGAGAAGGGGAACUCCUUUCGUCGGUAACUAUUGAAUUGCCUAUCUAACAGUGGAGCGAAGCGGAACGUUGAACGGGAAACUCGUGUCGUCGGUUAUCCAACUUCCCUCCUUUCUGUUUCGACAAAGAAAACGUUUAGGUAUCGGUAAUAGGAUUCCCACUAUGAUUUGCAGAAAAAGAUAGAUUCAAUAAUAAUCCAUAAAAAAUAUAUAGAAUCAGGCUCCGUAAUCAAGUGCUCGCUGUGAGAAGAAGAUCUACAGGCAUGUACCCAUUUCUCCCUGCAAAAUAAGUUUGAACCCGAGUGAGUAUGGACCAUACGCUCAUCUUUCUUCUCAAUCUACACCUCGUUCCGCGAGAGACCUAUCCUCGUUUCGAAAUAAAGGACCGUAGUGAGGAUCGAUCCCGGAUAAGCGAGUCAGUGUAGGGACAGAGGCUGAUGAUUCUAAAGGUGAUUUCUAACUACAAGAUGACUUUAUUUGAAAACGGAAUCCAAAUAUCAACAAAAAGAUGAAUGGAAAGUCUUGUCGAUAUGAAUUGAUCUUCAACCCAAUGACAAUGCUUCGAUUUCGAUCUUGACUUCUUUCUUGGAUGCCUGAAGUUUGUGUUCGCAUUUCAUCAAAGGAAAAGUGGGCUGUACCCACAUGAAGAAAAGAGUUGCUCGUGUAAAAGCAAUAUCUUCUAUUUGACUUAUCUAGCCGUGUCUUGUCUUGCACAUACUCGGCUCGGUGAAUGGUUCAUCUUCGAUUGGCAUGGUCCUUUGGAUGUAAGAGAUCUCGUUUGCUGGCCGGGCCCUUCCAUGAGUUUAGAUCUCUAUGUAUGAAUCUCUUAUGAAAUCCCAUACUUUUUAUCAUUUCAGAACGAUCAGCAUACUGUGUGACUUCUGCGUGACAGUUCUUGCAUUUCGUUUGUUGCUUUGCAUGAACAUUUAGAUAUUGGAAAGCGAACUCCCUGAAUUAGGAAUUUCAUAGAUAGAGAAGGACAGGCAAAAAGAGAGAGACUGACUAACUACCCGGAUCAAUGCUGAUUGACGACUGAAUAAAUAGCCGGAAGCAACAACUGCACGAGAGAGAAAGAGCGGAUCCAACUAAGGAAAUGCAGUACCUGUUCUGUCGGAGCUAAUCAUGCAAAGCUAGCAUAGCGCCAGCCGUCGAAGUGAAUGAAUUCGAAAGAACGCAGAAGUAAGGAAAUGAGACGACUCUUUCUUGAACAAUUUCAUAAGCAGAUCUUCCCCUCCACACCAAUGACGAGUUUUUUUUAUUCCUCUCGUAUAUCGUCGUCACGCCCUUAAUGAUAGGUUUUGAAAAAGAUUUUUCAUGUCAUUCCCAUUUAGGUUCGAUUUGGAUCCCUCUUUUGUUUCCCUUUCCUCCCGAACCUUUUCCUCGAAAUGAUAAAGAAUCUGGUACACUCGAAUUGUAUUAUUUAAGUGCUUAUUGCUUGCCAAAAUUCCUACUUCUACAAUUGGUAGAUCACCGGGUUAUUCAAAUAAGUCGUGUUUUCUGUGCUUUUCCCAUGUUACAACUUCCGUACCAAUUCGAUCGAUCCGGAAUGGAUCGGUUAAACAUUCUAUUAGGGAGCCCGGUCUUGACUCUUCUGUGUGGUAUUCAUUCUCGUUCGGCUCUUGGAAUCACAUCCAGCAGUGGUUGGAACAGCUCGCAAAAUCCAACCACUUCACCUACUUUAUUGCCCCCAACCGUUUCCCGUAUCUCUAUAGAAACAGAAGGGUUUCAUGUUCUUUCAUCGAUUGGGUAUUCCUCUCCUUUUGUAUCUCUUUAUCCAAUUUCGGUCUCGAUUAGUUCACAAGAUUGAAUGGCCAAGUCAUGGAAAAGCCGUUAUUCGAUUGUUUUAAAAGAAUGUUGAGCCGGGCCCGGGUAUGUAAGUUCAGCGAUGUACAAACAAGGAUUUAUUUUACUUCCGCACCUAGGUUGGGGGGUUCUAUUUAGGAAGAAUAAGGAAGAGGAAUAGAAUCUCAUUCAUGUGUUCAUGCUAACAGAAGAGCGGAUCCAAUACACAUAAGGCAUCGGUUGUUCUUAACAGCGAUGGCUACUAGGAUCUCCCCCUUAUCCUAGCAGAUCGGUACCCAGACCAUAUCCUUGGGCAGCUCGGAUGUAUCUAUCUUUUCAUUCAGAUCACAUCAUCUCGAGCGCGGAAUCUUAUUAGUGGAUCAGAAGACUAUGGUGACCCGUAGAUCUUCAGAUGUUGAUUUGCAGAGCAGGGCCGGAAUGCGGGGAUUGCAUUCUUCGAAAAGUAUCAUAUCUUCUUUCCCUAGGGAGAAAGCAGAAACCAGAAACGAGUGGAGGUUCGAUCUCUCACCCAAAGCAAUUGGGGCUGGUGGAAUCCUCCCCUAUAGACUCCGAAAAAUCAUCGUGUACCUUUCCCUAAAUCCUUCUCCCGUGCAUGCUAUUCUCGUGUUCCGUGAUUAGAAAAGACCUGUUUCUUGUUUUCUUUGAGGUAAUAAACGAGCUGUAUCCCGCUUUGCCUAUCUUGAUGUGGAAUCUAUCGUUGAGCACCCAUGAAUGCAGGUAGAAGGUGUUUCUUCUUAACUCUUUCCAGGCCUCAGCUUGAUUGGACUUCAUCAGCUCUUGUCGUUCAGCUUCCUCUCUCCUCUCUCAUCUUGUCUCUUUGUAGACGGCGUUAAAAAGUAAACAGACUUAAAGCAAAGUAGGUUCGAUCCUUGUGUUCUAUUAUAUGAAGUAGAAGAAGAAAGAGCCGGGGGGAUGGUCUUGGCACCCAUGGGUUAAUGGUGAAAGCGCUCAAGGAAAUAGGGAAUGGAAUAUUCAAAUCGAUCAGAAGUGUUAUGCUUUAUGUAAUCAGGCUGAAGGCUAACAUCUCGCAAGUAGGCCGAGCUAGGAUAAGAAUUCCAAUCAAAAAAUAAGUAUGAAUUGGGCCCAAAAUCACUACUUUACUACCUAUGUCGCGUGUCGCGCCACCUAGUAUGAUAGACUUUUUUCGGGAAAAGAGCAGGUUUUGCCCCAACUUGGACCCAGGGAAACCAAAGAAGAGCUAGUUUCGCCCUGUUUAGUUAGCGGUGGAUGAGCUGAUUUCUUUUCACUCCUGUUUCAGAGAUACAAAACAAAAGUAAAGUGUAGAACGCAAUGUUUGAGCUCCAGGCUUUUACGAUUCUUCCGAUUGACUUCUCUUCUCUGCUCCUAGCUCCGAAUGCCAGUAUGUAGAGAAGUGAUGGAAAGGGUUGUGCUCUUUCAUUUGAGAAACUUCCAACCAAAAUUGGAAUGUUAGAACAGAAUAUUUAGAUACAGGUCCAGCCUUAAGAAAUAUACUAAAUAUAUGGCGUAAAAUACACGUUUCUACCACGGCUGACACAUUAUCUCCCACAAAGACCAACGACCCAUCCCGAAGAGAAGUUGACUGACGGGGAUGUCUCGAGAAGAAAUUCCAGAAUUGGUAGCCUCCCAAAUCAAACAUACAUUGACAGGGGUUGCCAACAAAAAGAGAGGAAAGAGGCCCUAGUGAAUUUGAUAUGGUACCGUACCCCAAGGAAGGGGUAUACUAUACUGCGCCAAAAUGCAAAAUGUUGAAUGGGGUAGGGAACCCUGAACAACACCUCGCCCUUUUCAAAGCUACAUGCGGGAAUACUGGGGGCAAUGAAGCCCUUCUUCUCCUAUUCUAUACUAAAUAAACAAUCUAAUUCUAGGAAGAGUUUCGAAUACUGAAACUUAAAGGAAGGGCGGUUAGAACAAAGCAAGGGAUGACACUUUCAAUGCGCGAAAUCCGUUUCGAGUUAGAGUGCGAAACUUCUUGCUGCAGCCGUUUUAUUCGCUGCUUGCUACUUUCUAAAAUGGAAGAUAAGAUGAAUGAAUGAAUAGAUUGCAUUUUUUUUCUAGUUCAAUCUAUAGUCUAGAUUCCAUUCCCUCGAUCCACUCUCAUUUAAAUGAUGGGAUUGGGCCAUACCAACCUUCACUUAGUCUUAAUAAAAUAUUGCUUCAUAUCUUCAAGGAUUGGGAGGAGGUGGCGUAAAAAGGAAGGAAAAAGGAAUUCAAAAUCCGUCCCUUCCCACAGAAUCAUCGGGCUUGACUUUCCUUACUUUCCCAACCCCGCUACUGUAAAAAGAAUUCUUUUGUUUUGAGACUAGCUAGUCACUAUGGUUUGCGGGAAAACUCUUCUCUCUCUGGUCUCACUUCAAGUCCUUCUAGAAGUAAAUAAAGUAAAUGCUUAUUCAAGUACGGCACUGUCGGACAACCGACCGGAUUCAAGCCCUAGCCCCUCAACUCGGACGGACUUGUGGAAAUCCUCGAAAACAAGUAUUGCUCAACUCACCUCUCUAUAACAUAGAAAUGUUGCAUCCAACCCUGGAACGAGAGGUAAAGAAUAGGCUACCAUACGAGAUGAGACGACUUCAUUCUUGGCUUUCAUCCCUACGCUUAAGAAAGAUAAGGGAUUGGAUUUCAUACCUUUUAUUUAGAGCUCCGUCGUUCCGACUGGAAAAUGUAACCUUCCACCAUACGUAAACCAAACCUCUUUGCUUUCUGGCUUUUCCUUCCAAUAAAUAUCAGGGUGCGAAUCUGAGUAGUUCCUUUCUCAAGACCACGAAGCAAGAGCGAAGCAGAACCGGUUUUCAAUUCAUCGAAACUCUUGAAAAGUUCCUUUGCUUUUACAGCGAAAGCACCUGCCAACAAAUUGGAACCAUAAUCCCCUCCAUCUGCCUCGCUCUCUAUCUGGUAGUAUAUGCUCUGAUCGGGGCCCUAUUCUUAUUAUGAUGAUUUGGAUAUUGAAUUGCCUUUGACUGAUUCAUCUUACCAUUUUACUAGAGUUUUUUUCCAGUAAGUUUAACAUGAGCGGAAUUGGUGUACUUGACCAGUAGUGAACUCUCAGUUGUGUUCGAUAGUCGGUUACGAGUUCCCAUAUCUUACGCAACCUUACCUUUUCUUACUAUGGGCCAAAUUGCGGAGGAAAGCAGAAUCACUGUUUUUCGUAGAACUCACUUUUGCUACUGGAGAGUACCUUCCACCAGGUCAGAGCCAUGGAUCCAAAGCCUACUAGUUAGCUUUGAAGGUUUAGGCUUGAGAGAAAUCUUGAACAGAACACCGCACUCCCUCCUAUCAACUUAUUCAGAUUUGCUUAUUUCUUUCUCUUUCGUUUUUGUAGAUAUAGGCUUUGGCGGAUUCUCUCAAGGCUCGAGUGAAGUGACAAGCACAUAUUACCGGAAGCUAGUGAUCCCGCCCGGCCAGCUCAGCAUGCUUUAGAGCUCCUUGAUUGGUACGAGGUAGUGAUAGCAAGAGGCAACUCUCAAUUGUUGUAAUAUAGAGACCUCUUUCAAUGAUUAUAGAUCCAAAGGAUCGUUAUUGAUAGGAAACUGCCAGUAGCCCUUGACUUUUACUUGAAGAAUUGAAUCCGCCUUCUUCUUCUUAUUCUUCUGAAAGUCUCCCAGGCGUGGUAUCAUCGGAUCCACAAGGUCAAUUUGUAUCCAUUUGUUCGGAAACCGGAAAUGCCAACUACUCACUUCUUGCUGAGGAUGAAGGUGCCAUGGGUGAUAGCGCCAGCCAUUCCCUCAUUGAAAAGAAAGCGCCAACCCUGCUACUAAAGCUAAGGCCAACCGCAGGCCAGUGAAAUGAAAUGCGUAUGCAAAAUAACAUAGAUUAAUCUUGAUGCGAUCGAUGCAGACACACUUCUUUUCUUAAAGGCUACAGUCAGAAACAACAACUUCGCAAAUCACCCUAAGAGUGCCAUACGAAAAAACAAAAGCAACUGUGGGUAUAGACCAAUUUCCUGCCCCAGAAGAGGCUCAGCCUACCAAACCCUGCUCUUUGCCUGCUUACCGAGCUCUCCUCAUACCGAGUAUCUAGGCAUUUCUUCUCACAGACCGGUUGGGAGAAAGUUGGCAUUCUUUAAUAUGUCACUGGGGACCCGUACUUACUUGAUGGAAUGGAUGGGAUGAUGUGAUUCAGUUCUGCCAGUAGUGGAGGUUUCCUCGGCCUAGUCGCGUAAGAGCCCCCUUCUUUUUCUAGUUAGUUGAAAGAAAAGCAAUGGGGAAGGUUGGCUUACCAGUUAAUUGGUCUGUAUCAUAUCUUGCUAUGGUGGGACAUCCUCUUCAGUUUAGGUAUCCGGGCUGGCUUUUAGCUUUAGUCGUUCGGCACUCUUCCUUCAUUCUCAUUCAACAAGGAGAAGUGUCUAAUCAAAAUCAUUGGUUGAGCCUCGCGUAUAUUAUAUGAUGUCGUCCUGGAAUUGAACUAGCGUUUAAGGUCGAUCAAGUUCAAACAAUUCGGCUCUGCAAGAUCAAUCAGAUAUCAAGUAAGAGAUAGGCGCUUCCUAUUAGUUAUAGACUUCUUCUGUGACAAGUGGAUCCCUUUAGGUUUAGUUGUUAAUUGUACUAUUCUCUUCAAUAAUUAGGUCUUCCGUAUUCCUAUUGGGGUCAGUGGUCUUCACCACUCACUGAGUCUGGAUUCGUUUCAUGGGUAUUAUUUGAUGAGUGAUCAUCAAUCUCUUCCAUUGCUCCUAUGUGCUGCUAUACAUACAAGGUACAUGGGCCAUGGGGCCUAACACACACUAUACAGCCCAGCCCAAUACUCAACACUCCCCCGGCUAAAGAUAUCUAACAUGCCUAUCUUGUUACAAAUUGCUAAACCCUCACAAGGACCUACUCGUUUAGUAAAACAAUCAGCUACAUGUUCACUAUACUUAAUGUUACCCCCUUCUUCGACCGAACAAUCUCAAUCCGAAGGAAGUAUCGAAGAGGUCCAAGAUCCUUUACCUCAAAUGCUUCUCCCAGUCUUGCCUUCAAACAUUUUAUUUCUUCAACAUCGUCUCCAGUAAUCACAAUAUCAUCCACAUACACCGCCAAAAUGGUGAUAUGGAUUCGUCUAUGCCGGUACUGUAUGAUCUCCAUUACACUGAGAGUAGCCCAUACCACAAACAACUCUCCUGAACCUGUCCACGCCCGUGGCGACUGUUUCAAGCCAUACAAAGAUUUCUUGAGCCUACACACCUUCCCAUCAGUCUGUUUGUUCCAAAACCUGGAGGAAUGUCCAUAUGGAUCUCUUCUUGUAAAUAACCACCAUGAAGUAAAGCAUUCUUCACAUCUAGCUGAUGUAAAGGCCACCCAAAGUAAGUUGACUGCGCAUGAGAUUAAGGUUCUCACCGUGUCCAUCUUCGCCACUGGUGCUUUGGUCUCAUCAUAGUCUAUCUCCCGUCUUCCUAUAACCUUUUGCAAUUAGCCUUGCCUUCUAUCUAUCCACCUUACCCUCUGGAGUCUGUUUUACGGUGAACACCCAUUUGCAUCCAACUGCUCUUUUUCCUGCUGGGAGUGGAAGAAGAUCCCACGUCUUGUUCUUCUGAAGUGCACCAAGCUCCUCCUUCAUUGCGUCUUUCUUUCCACCGGGGAUCCAGCUUUGCAGCCUUCCAAUCCUUUGGAAUAGACACUGAUUGUAGAGAUGCAAUGAAUGCUUUGUGUGCGGGUGAGACAUAAGAGUCUGAAACUCCAUUUGCAAUGUCAUGCUCAUAGCCAUAUCGGACCGGAGGCUUUCCAGCAUUAGUCCUAGUCUCUCUGCAUAGUGCAAGCGGCAAUUCCAAAGAAGUAUUACCACCUGUCUCAUUUUAACCUCCAUCUUGCUCUUGUGGCUCCUCCUCGACUACCUCAGGUUGCUCUUGUGGUUCUUCAUCCAAGACCACUAGCGGUACAAGAAGAAGGGGUCCCGGCUCGAGGGCGGCGGUAUCUUACUUCUUUUCCUCUGCGUUCGUGACAAGCUAGUAGGCACUCUUGUGUGGGUUGGCUCAUUCCCCUGGAAAACGAACAUUAAGAAGAUAGAUACCAUUCCGUCGAUACUAGAUUCAUUCUUUCUGCUCAAAAAGAACAAAGCCUCUAUUGUGGGAAAAGUCUUUGAAACCCGAAGUUCUAAAAUAGAAAAUGGAAUGAAGAAGGGGUGUGACCUUAUGGCCAACUAUACUAGCUCCCCUAGAGGGAUAAUAUAGCUCCUAAAGGAUGAUUGUUUAUGGUAUAUUACCGUAAUUGGAGAAUUUGACCUGGUGCUGACUUGCUGCUGUUCUGAGAAGGGGACCUUGCAAAGCUUGACAAGUUUUUUUUAUAUUUAUCGAUCCAAUCUGUCUACAGAUAGGCGCCUGCUGUGGCAGCAAUUAAUUAAUCUCCGCCUUAGCAUACAAGGACCAUGGCUCGCAGCGGGUAGUUACGGUGGUUUUGAGGAGACCCGCUCAAGGUCGCUGGUUCGGAGCUAUUCCGAGAUCUCAAGGAGCGCCAAUCUCAAUACGUGCAAGAAGAAAGAAAGGCUUCCACCUACGACUGCAGUUGCUGGUACUUUAUCUCUGUCGCUUUCAACUCCCACUCCUUCUCCCUUUGGUUUCUAUAGGAAGUGAGACAGAAUAAUAUAUCUUGUGUAACUAAUCUUUCUUAUCGAAAGGUUAUAGUUCGUAGAUCAUUUCUAUAAGGACUAUUUGAGCCAUAUCCGGUGCUUUGGACCUCUUUUAGCUGCUAGGUAUCUACUGGGUUCAAUCCCCACUUCCGCUUGAAAUGAGUAAGUCAAUCCUCUUGCUCGGCUGUGAUACGAAUACUAUUCAUACGCAGACCCGGAUCCAAGAUAUGGGGCAUAGACAGAUAAGAAUGGCUUCUGAGUUGCAUUCAUUGCACUCUGGAAUGUGGGGCUCCUUGGCUGAUGUGAUGGAGCGGUAUCAGCAGAUACUUGCAAAGAUCAAAUCAAGCAGAAGAAACAAGGAAGUUAACUCCGCGCCAUCGGCCACCUUAACACGAACAGCUUGGGACAGAGGUGUAAUGCCUGACAGAGAAUCAGCAAUAGAAUGAAUUUUGCAUGCAUUUUUCAUCGAGUGAAACUACUUGAAUAAACUGGAAGUUUUAAACCAAGUACUCUUGAAAUCGCUACCCCCUAGGAUGGAAAAAGAGGCUCAGGUUUUAGCCCUCCGUUUUACCCCGGAAGUCGUUGUUCGUCUUUCGAUAUGAGAGGAUGGCAAGUGUCCGCAAUGACUUAGCGACUUAGCCAAUUGGUUACAGAUUCUAGACUGAUCGAUCAGACCACAUCAUCUCGAGCAAAGAGCUGAGAGCAGAGAAGCGACAUCGCUUCGACACUCCUUCCUCUUUUCAUUAUGAAACCAAUAUCAAGCAAGAUAUGAAGAAGAGGGCGGCUCCCUGGAUUGAACACAUAAAGUAGUGCCAAGAUCUCCUCUAUGCGAGAGAGAAGUUCUCAGAAAUGAUGGAGCUGUUGGUUUCGGUCAUUGUACGCUUGGUUGCUAAACCGCACCCUUUACGGCGUCUGUAGGAAGAAUUCAUUCUGGUCCCAAAACUUAUAAGAGAUCUCGGUAGUGAAUAUGCAAUGCUGAAUUCCAAUAAGUUGGUACUUCGCACAAGGAAGAAGCUCGUGUUAAAGAUAGUUUCAUCCAGACCGAACCCUACCUUAGCAUCUCAUCCCCACCCACCAAGUCUUUAUCCGCGGUGAAAGGAGUGGUUUAAUUCGAUGCAAGGUGCAAACGAGCUUUUCCAAAGAUGGAGUCCUUUCAGAAAUACAUGUGCCAGAAGAAAGCAGAUUCUUUUUCUAUCAUAAAAUGAAUCUGCUUUCUGAUGGCCAUUUCGGUCCGUUGUGGGACCACGGCUUGCAAAGAAGGUAUUUAGCGCAAAGAACUUCUUCCGCUUUUGGGGAUUCCACUAAUUGAUAGAAGGAAGUGGAUGCGGCAGGAUUGGCCCCAAUUGAAUCACUAGUAGAAGAGAUCCACGUGCAGAGACUGUUAGGGAGAUGCAGAUGGAGGGACGUUUGGAUUGCUGCUAGAAGGGCUUACGACGAAUAGAUUGUUGGAAUGGCUUUAAGUGAAAGGGAAUCCGGCAGCUUAUAUAGCGCUAGUGAGAGGCCUCCUAGUCUAUUUCGAUGGACGUCUCCUAAUCCUUCUUUUUCUAUGGGUUCAGGAAUGCCAUGCCAAUAGCAGAUAGAGCAGCUAAUGGUCAAGCCAGAGGCAGCAGGUCUCAUUCCAGACUCCACUCAGAAUACCCGGCUCUUUUUCUAGACUCCACUAGGAAGACCUUGCUCUUUCACAGAUACGGGGAUCAGACAUGGCUAUCGCUUCGACAGCUUCUCCGGAUGAAAAGACGCCGCCCAAUGGAUGGAGUUGGAGGGACACGGAAUCCUUCCUAAGAUGUGCCUAGAGAGAACAAUCCUUUCAGAAUCUCGUACGUCUAAGUGAUCAACUACUUGUGCCUCCGAAAAGCUAGAAAUCAGUAAAAGGAAUGAUCUACAGAUAGAGGGUUCAAACCAUAUAGCAGCACUCAUCCCGCCCUGACCCGAGUCCCCUAGCCUCUCAGCUUCAGCAGUUGUUGUAAGGAGAAGUAGCAGGAUUGUUAGUUUAUGUGCCGAGCAGGCGCAGGGAUGAGAAGAGAAUUGCAUAGAAUAGAAGCAGCUAAGGCUCCUUCCUCUUCAGAUUCCUACUAAAGGGCGGCAGGUGAGUGAGUCGGCCGCAUUGUUCCAUCAGUGUGUCAAGCAAGUUAGAAGAAUAGCUUGUGCUUGUAGUGCAACAGUUGCUGCAAGAGCAAGAGCUACUGGUAAGGUUUAGUGUACGAGCCAGAUCAGAACCUGAACUCGAUUUGUCACUGUGCGCCGCUAGGGCAAGGUCAGAAUGAAGAUAGCAAGGGACGUUACUCCAACUAGAGUAGUGAAAUACCGAAAUCAAGGAAUCUCUCCGGGAAGACAGUCAAGGAAAGGGAAACAUUACUCUACUAAGAAAUAAACUCGUAUAAGAAAGAAGAGACUUGGAUUCCGGAUUCCAAUCUUUGAUCCAGUUUUAGGCCAGUGCUCAAACUUGGAGAGAAAGAGCUUUUCCCUCAACUUCACUCCCUUGACUUGACUCCCGACCGAUGAUCCUACUAACGUCAUUUUGACAGCUAUGGAUAUGGAAUUCAAGCAUGCGUAGACACCGACCAUAUAGAUUCUCUGACCUCUGCCCUGGAACCCCACAUCGGGAGGCUGCCAGUACGUACUGCUAUUUGACCUCGAUACCCAGUCCGCUGAUAAGAAAACUUCUGUUUCACUUAGGUGCUGCCAGUGUGGAAGAGGAGAUUCGAGCCUCAUAAGUGAAUACGGAAAUCCAUCUGAACUGGUAUCCAUCCCUGGUAAGUAAGCUUCCUCGCUCGGUUUGUUUGCUAUUGCUAUAGUUCGAUCCUUAAAGAGAAUCACUGGCCCGGCUAUCUCGAGGGAUGGGAUGAGAAUUGGAAUGAGAAUAGGAAUUGGAGAACAGAAGCAAGUGUGGAAAAUGUUACUAAUGUCAAUUAAAAGAGUUGGCAUCGGAUCAGUGGUGUCGUUCGGAUAGAGGGAACGAAUAGCGGGUGAAAUCCAAAAAUCUUCUUUCCUUUUGGGGAUGAGAGCGACUACACUACAUAAUUGGAACUUGCCUUUGCUUUAUUGCCUUAGCUUCAUUGGUAUUGGAAUGAAUUGUCUUCUAUGUGGAGAUCCAAGGCUUGGUUUUCUAGCGCGAAAGCCAUUGCUAGCAUCUGUUUGAUUGCUGGAUUGGGUUAGCAAGUUAUUUAUUAUCCAUUGGCCACAUCGCGAUAGCCGUACUAGAACUUGAAUUUCCCAUUCUUGAGCCUCGCCACUACUUUGUUUGAUUUUCUUCUCCGGGGUUGAUGGAUUUGCUGCUCUAAGGCAUUGGAGGUUUAAAAUUAGCAUCUCGUAAUGAUCAGGAUCUCUUGCCAGGUCAGGAUAGCAUCCACUAAUCGAAAUCCUCUUUUCAUUCUAGUUUAUGGAUAUGGAUCUGUUGUAUCUGCUGGAGCUUGCCCCGGGCAUUCAAGCAAGAAUUUCCUGCUCCCUGUUCUCCGAUAGAUCUGCUCUACGUUCUGGACUGGCCGGCCUAUUAUCACAACUUCUGAUUCCCUGAAAGCCUAGCUAUCAACCAUCGACCGAGGAUCAAGAGCAAGUUCAUUUUCCAAAUCCAUAUUCUGGUCUCUGGGCAAGGAAGUGAAGCACAGCUGUGUUUCUGGGGAAGCAGGUUUCCGCUCUUCCUUCGACUUUGAUAUAUGUUAUUUCUGAGGAAUGUUACUAAUCCGAGUAGUUGUUGUUGUUGAUGGACGACUAGUUCGAGUAGUCGUUGUUGAUGCCAGUCCAGUGUGGGUAGACGAACUAACCUAACCGUCAACUAAAAGCAAGCUGUAGAAAUGGGGAUCAGUGGCAGAAUUUACAUAUAAGUUCUAAGUAAAGGUUUCAGGACUCAGUGGAAGUGAUCCGGCAGACCAGUCAAAGAAAAGAUUGAUCAACCACUCACAACUGGAAUCAAGCAAUCCUAUCCCAACAACCCAAGAUCUUAGACUCGGCCAGGGAUCAUUUCUAUCUCUAUCUCUUGUGACCUGGAGAACUGCACUUUGAAACAGGCAUGUCAAUCAGANNNNNNNNNNNNNNNNNNNNNNNNNNNNNNNNNNNNNNNNNNNNNNNNNNNNNNNNNNNNNNNNNNNNNNNNNNNNNNNNNNNNNNNNNNNNNNNNNNNNNNNNNNNNNNNNNNNNNNNNNNNNNNNNNNNNNNNNNNNNNNNNNNNNNNNNNNNNNNNNNNNNNNNNNNNNNNNNNNNNNNNNNNNNNNNNNNNNNNNNNNNNNNNNNNNNNNNNNNNNNNNNNNNNNNNNNNNNNNNNNNNNNNNNNNNNNNNNNNNNNNNNNNNNNNNNNNNNNNNNNNNNNNNNNNNNNNNNNNNNNNNNNNNNNNNNNNNNNNNNNNNNNNNNNNNNNNNNNNNNNNNNNNNNNNNNNNNNNNNNNNNNNNNNNNNNNNNNNNNNNNNNNNNNNNNNNNNNNNNNNNNNNNNNNNNNNNNNNNNNNNNNNNUAAAGAUAGAUUUCCUUGCAUCGGGACUUGCUUCUCUUUUCAUUUCACAUCCGAGGAUCGAUUUCAAGAACAUGGUAAACUUCCAUUCGAUUCGCACUCUUGAUGAAACGCAUCGCUCCGCACUCUUGUUCGAAACUCUACUCUGGAGAAGGGCCCCCGGCUAAAGAGAAAGAUCUGAUCUGUCUUGUCCCUUGGGAUCUUAAGUGUGGAAAGAGUCUAGUCUCUUCCAUUGCCAACAGUGAGUGUAGGCUGUCUUUCUACUCGGAUAGGAGUGCGCGCUAGAAAUCUCUUCUCUUCUCUUCAGCAACAGUGGAUUUCUGAAGCAAAGGUCGAGUACUACUGAUUCCCCAUUGGCCAGGCCCCAGCGUAAAAUGGAUCUCUGAUCUUGCCAUUCCUUCAGAUCUGGAAGUUUGCACUUUCUUCAGAAUGUUAAAUAACGUAUCAAAUAUGCCUCCGGUGAAAAGAAGGUAAGUAGAAUGAAAGGAAAACAAACCACGGAAUUGGAGAAUCAGUUGUUCCUUUGCAGUGAGUGGAGUCAAGCUCGUUCUCAGUCGUAUCCACUAUAGGAGGUUUGCUACACGAAGAACGGGAACAGGCAGGCUAUUGCUUGAAGGAAACUAGGAACUGGGAUUGAUUGUCCGCUCUGAGAUUGGUAUUCGUUCUGUUCUCCUCGGUUCUGGGUCUUCAUCUGUUCUGUAGACUAGACCCGCACAUAAGGAGAAGCUAGCCUAGGAAUCAGUCAACUAGACUCGCAAUAAAAGCCAAGCCAUUCAACAGGGAUUCUCUGAACUGAUACGAUACGACUAUUCAACUUCCAACUAUCUCCCCUGCCCUGUUGAGGUAAGAACCAGGACAAUAAGGAAAACCUCUAGAGCACUUAGCCAAGCCUUAGCCUGAUAUUGAGAUAAGAUAGUAGUUGCACACACGGAACUAGCCUUAGAUCAAAUCUGGGAUGAUGCCAUACCCAUAUCCCUUCUUCCCAAGCUCAAAACCAUUACUAACGGAAAUAUACGCAGCACUCAUAAAUGAAACUAGACCCGCACGCACCGCACCUAAAAAGCAAGUUCAACCAACCAACCAAGCAAGGAAGUGAGCUCCCUAUAAAGGAACUUCGCCCAAAGCAAAGAAAUGGUUUCGGUAAUGGCGCAUCUUCACUUCACAGUCUUUCUCGAGCCUGAUCAGCCCAACAAGCAAGCUUUUUUAUUGCUACGCGCCUCCGCCUCUCUAUAUAAUGAUAAUGGGAAGAAUCUUCUGAACGAGAAUCAUCUAGUUAUAUCAAUUACUUAUAUAGUUAGUUAGAAGACAAUCUCCCCUUUAUUGCUUUUGCAUAGCAUUGAGCAUUAUAUAUGGUUAGCUGCGGAUCUAGUGGAUAAUGCGAGACUACAACGUAUAGUGUUACCGACGAUGUUUCGCUUUCGUCUUCGAUGCCUGGCGUGGUGCUAUCAUCACAUUGAUCUACCCGCCCUUCUAUUCCCUUCCCUAGCUUUCGUGUUUGAGUAGUCGCGCCAGAUUUCGAUUCGGAUGCAAACUUAGCACAAUGCCCGGUAAGCUAAACACUCGAUUCUACAUCUCCGAGAAUGCAACGAACUUCUACUUCUAGAUAGGUCUAAUAGAUAGACGGCUAAUAGAUAGACGGGGGGCCCACUAGUCCUGUAUUGCGGUAGUUCAAUACAUACUGACAACGAGAGAACGAACCCAGUACCUAUAGUACAACAAACACCACCAUUACUUGCGUCACUAAAUUGAAGCAUAGAAAGAGGUGGACCGCGCCUUGGAUAAUUGGUCGGAUACAGCCGUAGACCGCAGAACUCGAUCGGACACAAAGGGUACGGUACAGAACUCCUCAAGACACAGUAGUCAACUGCUUCACUCCUACGCAUUAUCCUUUCUUUGAAAGGCAAGAUUAGGGAGCCAAUUGAGUGAACAGACGAAGUAGCUUGCUUUGUACUACCGACAUCCUAAUACGAUAUUCUUUGCUACCUUUUCCAAUGACAAGCCAGACUUCAGAACUGAUUGGACACCAGAGUCGAUAGCUUACUUGGGACUACCGAAACUACCAAAGAGCAGCUCUCAUUUUUCUAAAGAGGAGGUGGACUUAAGUGAUAGUUAAAAAGAGAGACCAACAGAAGCCCUAUCUGGGCGAAGCAAGCCAGUGCCAGUGCAAGGAGCAAGCUUACCUGCCUCUGGAGUGGAGUGAUCCAGUUCCAGCGCCAUCAUAAUAUGACAUUCUAGGGUUGGCGCACCAGAGAAGAUCCCAUAAAGGGUGGUACAUUUUCAACUACUUCACUCGAGAAAAUCGAAUGCAUUUCCGGGUCCCAUGCUCACCUGCUUCUCUCUUCUGCAUGACUGUUCUGUUCCCUCCUGGCAUCUUAGAGAAGUCAAGUAUUCUACUUCUGAUCUGUCAACUCUGACCCACAACUAGCGCUAGGGAAAUGCUAUUCUCGAAAGCAAGGGAUUGAGUGAGAUAUGCAGCAAGCAAAGAAAAAUGGAACCCAGCAACCCGGAAACUACAGAAGCCUAUCUAGCUUAUACGAUCACAGAAAUGAGAGAAGGAGAACGAGAACAUCCACGGAAGAUAGUGAUUCCAGAUGGCGAGGGUUCUUUCCCUAUCAAGCUAUUCAGCAGCAAUCCAGCCAGACUACUUUAAAGGGUGCCACUAGACUCUGACAGAAACAUAGCCCUAUGACAAGGAUACCCAUCAUUCCUAUUCAAGGACUGGUCCAAUUCUCUUCAUUCACCAUAUUUAAGGGGAUGCUUGGGGGCCCAUGACAUCCUUCCUAAACAGGAGCUAUUGAUCCAACACCUGAGCCAUAUUUAUUGCGAGGAGCAAUCCGGUUGCUAAAAGAGGAAGAGCUUCUAAGUUCGAGUCCUGAUCCCGAGAUCAAUGGGCUUCCACUUAUGCCCGGACCGGAAGUAGCAUAUAUGAAUUAAAGGGAGAUCUAAUCAACCGAGCUGGGUGAGGAUUCCGAGAUUAUGUAUUGGUCAUUGGCUACAGGUGAAUCUAAUUAGGUUCGCUGAUCAUCCAAUAUGACCCGCAUCAGGUCGCGCAUUAAUUAAGUGGCGGGCUAUACAAGUGGGAAAGUACGGGCAGUUGCAUGUUUCCUUUGUUUCAAAACAAUGUGAAAAAGGCGGGUGUGAUGAAGUUGGGAGGAGGGGGCAAGGUAUAUAGAAUGUGAACAAUGGGUGGAAAUCGGAGAAUAGUGCCAGAACAGCCGUUGCACAAAUAUGAGAAAUCAAGGGUUGUGGAUGGUGGAAAGUAUCGAGUUGUUCUAGUUCCUGGCCUUGGUGGUUGUCCCAUGCCCGAGGGAUACUAUGGCGCAUCUCUUUCUGCGGGAACUAAACAAGUUGCCAAUAAUAAUAGAUAUCCCAUAAUACUUGAGGGCAAAUUUGGGACGGGAUAUUCCUCGAUUACAGAGGCAGCAGUUGCGGGCUCAGGUGUGGCUAAAUCUACAUCAAUAGCAGGAUCAGGAUACGAUGCUUACUCGAAAUCAAUAUUCCCCGGUUUCUUACGAGAUAAGAUAUGUAUGCCGGUCCAACUAAAGGAAGGGUGGUUUUGAGCUUGGGUUUCAGGCGCCGGGCUUUUCUACUGAUGAAGUGCGGUGCGCAUCUAAAAGAGUGGAAUAUCCCGUUCUGCUAUCAAAGAAAGAAUCGAAUCCGCCGCUUUUCUAGCUAGAAAAUCCCUUGCCCAACAGGAACAGGAUCUCUUGCCGGCACCGGCACGAAUCAAACUGCGGAUCAGGCGUGUGGAAACGAAUCUCUUGGAUGCUUUGGGAUUGGGGAAGCGAAAGCAGUUAUCGAGUCAAGUCAGGAAAGCAGUCGAGCUACUACGGUACAAGAAGAAUCUGUAUUCGCAAUGAGAAAUAACAUAUGGAAUCUGCCACCCAAAACAAUAGGAAUAGGCUUGCUUGUCCGCUCUUAGAUCGGUUCAUAGCUCAGGCUCUGGUUUCUAGCAGAUGUGAAUGAAUUCAUUUCUACUCUACUCCGGGGAAUGGCCUGUCAUUCGUACAUUCGUAUUCGUAUUGGAUUGUUGGAAGGAAGCAGUUGGCAUUCUCGUUCGAAGGAAAGGUACUUGUUCGAGGAAAGAAAGCGUAUUAGUGCUCUGGGCUAAUCGGUCGGGUAGAAGCUCGUAACAAGAGCAAGCAUCGGAGAAAGCGUAUGUACUCGUUCUCGAGUCAGGAAAGCACUUGUUGGUAUUGGCGUCGGAAAGUAAAAGCAAGCAAGUAGUUUCGGCAUUGGCUACUACUUCUUCCCCAUGGGCCAGGUUCUGUUCUCGAAAUAGCAUAAGUGAUCCUGCGAAACCGGCGAUGCCAGACCAAUCAAGCGUAUCAUGUCGACUUUCGAAUCCGGGACUUGACUAUCCUUGAGAUAGCAGUUCCUUGGUCAGGAAAGCGGAGUCACUAGAACGAUAUGAGAUACACGCACAUCUCGAUAAGCCAAUCCCAAUCCCUUCAACCCAACCUUUACCAAAAGGGGAAACUGUAACAACAAUGACCCUGACUCGGAUUCCAAUAGGGCUUCUGCUUCUUCUGCUUGGCAAGGUCAAGUAUAUACACAGUCUAAAGCCACAAGAGAAGGUAUGAUAGGACAAGUGUCGUUCGAUGCCUUGUAACCAUUUCCAUGUUCUGGUCCGGGUUCUAGGUCUAAAAGAAGCAUUGGCUGUGUUGAUCUGUCUCCAGGUCGUCUAUUUGAAAGGGAAAGCCCAGUGUGUUCGUUCCUCUACUAUACGGAAUCCUUGAUAUCUUGCCUUGGUUCCGACUCUAAACCGUUCUAAACAGAUUCUUUCUGCAUACUGAUGUUGGCAGUUAUGCCUAGGUGAUAGAUGUAUGUUGCUGGAUUGGAAAGCUAUACGACCCCUUUUAUUCAAUUAUGACCGCUGAGAGGACGGCGCAAUAGUAUCAAUUACCUUUCCACAAUUGUUUGAACGGUAGGUUCGGAGGUAAUCGUAUAGAUGAUGAGUAAAUAUCCGAGAGUUGGCCAACAACUUAACUUGCAGGCUUUCAAACCUGCUCAUACGGUAAUGGCGAGGAGUUUUGCGGAUCCCUUUCUCUAUGAGUUUCGGUUGAUAAUGACUUAAGGUGAGCAACGAACCUCCAAUCACUUUUUCAGGAAUACACAGAGAGAACCAUCCGGCUGCACUCAACUGCAAACUAAAGGAACUCCUAACAAGCAGGGGAAUUUCUCCUUUGUUACUGGUCGGGACGACCUAAAUCCUGUGGUCAGUUCGGACAGGGGCAUUACAAACGAGCUAUGCUCUAUGAUUUCGCUUUGUUUACACGGGUGACUGACCUACACCUUCCAAUCUAUGGUUUCACCCGCAAGGUAGAACUUUCUCUAAAGCUUCUUCGCUCCGUAAUACACUUGCGCCUUCCUUUAUAACCAUGCACUCCCACUACUUCUUUAGGACCUGGCUGACUUGCUUAUCACAAGUCGUCUCCCGAAAAGGCAAAUAUCGAGACUGAGAUGCUGCUUGGAGUCUUCAUUCUCCAGGGCAGAGCUCACUACCACUCAUUAUCGGAGGGAGACGUAAUAAUACUGAGCUAUUGUUCGAUUUCCUUGCUUGCGAGAUCAAAAACUGGGUACCGAACAAAGAAAUCUGCUCACGGUACCUCUUACCUCAAAACUUCUAUUGGAUCUGGGAGAAGAAGAAUUCCAAUUUGAAUGUGCUCAUAUCCAACUACCCGAAGGGACGAUAUCAGGAAAAGCAAAAGGUGCAUGGGCGGUUUCAAGUUGUUUUGGUUGCGCAGCUUUCGAUCACUGUGUCAGCCGAGCUCUAACGCUUCUAUAAAGUGAGAAAUCAUGGUACCUUCACGUCUACCUUUCCCAAGGGCUAGUUCAAUUCCAGAGAAAUGCAAGCAAUCGUACUGGACUCCCGCCGCCUGCUAGGCUCACUAUACCAAGUUAAGUUCCUCCAAAGUAUUUUCAUCAUCGGUAUCAGCAGAGUCACAAGAUAAGGGAUAAAGAUAGUAGCCCAUAGCUCCUUUAUCAAUUUCCUUCUGAAACUUAGCAGGGUCUAACAAUGUUGGAGAAGUAGUAUUGCUGCUGUCAGAAAGAAUAAUGGUUUCUUGCCCAUUGUGACAAAUACUCAUUGUUCUGGCCUUCCAAUCUAAAUUGAUUGGACUGUGACGAUAUAGCCAAUCAUAACCCAGUAUAACAUCAUUGCUUUCCAAUUUCAGUAGCUUGAAGGUGUCUUGAAAUGUGUGCCCUUUAAUAAGUAGUAUCUGCAGUGUAAGCUCCAGUAGUUAAUUGACCUCCUCCAGCCACUUUGACAGUAAACAAAUGUUUCUGACUCUCAUAUCAGUGAAGCCCACACCACCAUAAUCUUUAGGGGUGCAUAGGUGUUCCCAUCUGACCAUGUGAAAUUUCUUCUUCUUAAUCCCAGUAGAAGUGAUUUCUUAUUGUAUCAACUUUUUUCUGUAUUUUGACAGGCAAAGUGUAGCAACCCAGAAGGUACAUAGGGACAUUUGAUAAACAUGCAUUGAUCAAUAUAUCUCUUCCUCCAUAAGAGAAAUGUUUGCAUUGCCAAGAGUCCAACUUCUUUUCUACCUUUUAAUGAAAAAAAAUCAUUAGAAGAGAUCUUGUCUUUGCUGAUUGGUAAUCCCAGAUAUUAUAUUUUAUUGGAAAUUUGCCUAUCUCACAGUUAUAUCAGCUACCCUCUGCUCCUCCUCUACACUCAACCCUACUGUGAAAAUAUCACUCUUCAAGUAAUUGACUUUCAUGCCAGACAUUUCCUCUAAACAGUAGAGAAGGAAUUAGAAUCCAGUAAUAGACUCCAUGUCAUUAUGCAAAAAAAAAGCAAAGUAUCAGAAGCAUAUUGCAAAUGACUAAUCCCCCCUGGUAUCAGAUGUGGUACCAAACCUCUAAUCACACCUGCUUCCUUAGCUCUAUCCAGAAUUGCAGAUAGUGCAUCACCUACUAGGUGAAAAAGCAAAGGAGAAAGAGGAUCUCCUUGCCUCAAACCUCUGAAAGUAGAGAAAUAUUCUCGCCAAUCUCCAUUCAUAUUCACACACACUUUGCCUCCUUCCACUGCUUGUCUAAUCCAAUCUAUCCACCUGUCAGGGAAGUUUUUCCUAUGCAUUACCUCUGCCAAGAAAGGCCACUGAACUCAAUCAUAAGCUUUUUCAAAGUCCAACUGAAGCAAAAUUCCUUCAGAGUGAGAGGUUUUCAACUCAUGCAAAACUUCAUGAAGAAUUACACAUCCAUCCAAAAUUUACCUCCCAGGAAUAAAUCCAGUCUGAAGAGAGCUGAUUACUUGUCGAGCCAGAGGAGUAAAUCUAAGUGUCAGAGCUUUGGUAAUAGCUUUAAACAUAACAUUUAGAACACAUAUGGGUCUAUACUGUAGGAUACUAUUAGCAUCCUUAAUCUUUGGCAGUAGAGAAAUGACACCAUAGUUUAGUCUGGACAAGUUCAACCUGCCAUGAUACAGCUCCUGAAGCAUUUAGAUUAGUAUAUCUCUCAACUGGGGCCAAAAAGCUCUAAAAAGCUAACAGAGAAGCCAUCUGGACCUGGAGCAGUAUUUGGUUUCAUGCUUUUCACCACCUUGUCUAUCUCUUCACUCAUGAAGUUAAUACAAGUGAGGACUGAUUUCUGUCAUUCAUAUAAUUCAGAAGAGGAAGGCCGGUUGAGUGCUUUCCGCGUAAGACUAUUGAGUUUCCAGCUGAUUGCCCAUAUUUUCCAGGAUAGGAUUUGUCCACUUGAUUGAAUUCAUGUCAUUGAAGCAAUGAACUUGCUAGCCAGCGUGCCAAAAAGGUUGCUGACUUUGGGUACACAGAGUAGUGGCGAGAAAAGGGCUUGCACCUCAGCCGUUUCGCUUGAUUCGGACCUUGUGGUUGUAGUCACAGGGUACAAAGAUAACCCCACAACCAUUUGUUGUAUUCUUUAAGUCAAUCGCUCGUAGUAUGUGCUAGAAUGAGAUGAGAUCCAGCUCAAAGGUGAAGACCUCAUUCUUUGAACCCUCCCGGGCAGUUCCUGUUCUAGCUUCUCUAUCUCUAGCAAGUGAUACGAACAACACAACAUCUUCUCCGGUCGUAGGUCGGUAGGGCUUGCCCUGGCUAAGAAAUGGAAUAAAAAAUUCCCGGUUUCUUGACUGUUUCUGAGAUUAUUUACCUUUAUUUACAUGAAGAUGCACGGUCUCUUACACUUUUCCUAGCUUAAGUUGGCGGAUUGGUAAACAAACGGCUCUGCAGCUCCGUUCGCUUCGGCACCACUCCCUUGCUUCUUAUCGAGGUCGGUGCCAACAAACAAGUCCCAUUCGAGCAAUGGAAUCUACAUAAGAAUGUAAUCACUGUUAAGUAUUCCACUCACUGAUGCCCAGGAAAAUGGGCCUCUGAAGAAAGCAAAGACAAUAUCUGUUGAGGGCGAGCCCCGCUCCCGAAGAUACCUGAUGAUAAGUAUGUUAUCGAAGCGUUAAAGCGAGAAUUCACAUAUGUAAAAGAUUCCCACAUUCCGUGAGAUUCGUUGCCUACCAAAGAAAGGUGCAAAUAAGCCAUUUUAUUAGAUUUUGCCUCUGCUGAUCCUGCUCAUGCUUUUUUUUCUCAAUUGGUAAAGUCUCUCAGCCUUGCAAAGUGGAAAAAGAGAUGGGCGUCGGAUCCAUGUUUCGCUAAUCCCGAGCUUGAAGAGAAGUGAAUGCCCGUGGGGAAACGAAGAAGGCCUAGGGUUAUCUAUUGAAAACCAUGCAUGCCCAGAUCUAUUACGAAAGUUGGAAAAACACAAUGGCCAAAUGCACUUAUUUUCGAAGAAGAAUGAGGCAAUCGAUCAUCCGGACGAAAGGGAUAUGGAAAGUGGGCUUGUUCUUCACUCUAUAAGUAAAUAUAACAGGCAUCCAUCGUUAACAAGUAGAGACUUCGCCUUUCUCUAAAGAGCCCAGAGGUCCUGCUAAAUAAGAUGUAUUGUGAGCACAAGAUGGACCUGAGCUCCUCUCUUAAACCAAGGCAUACUCUACUAGCUUUCCCGUGGAAGUUUUAGAAGGCGGUUAGGUUAAAGAUAAAGUGGUUGAGCAGUGAGAAGUGCACCGGAAGUGUACUUCGAGCGAUGGGAAGCUAGCGUGAAAGGUGCUCCAGCUUGCUUGCUUGGUCAAAACAGGCUUUAAAGACAGCUUUCUCUUUCGCUAUCUUACUUGGAUAGUUUAGGCUUUCUUUUCCUUCCUCAUUCACCAAUCUAUCAUGACCGUCUUCUUUUCCUCCCUGAACUUAUUUGAGUUGGUUUCGGUUGGUGAAGUCACCGGUAUGGUAUGAUGGUUUAGUACCGUGCUCCUAUAGUCCCAUUGCCAUCUCUUGGCUUAGAAUUUGACACUUGAUCAUCGGUCUUCUAGGUCAAAUGGGUGUCAUCCCUUCUCAGCUUCUCACUUGAAGAACUAUGAGAUCUGUUGGUUCCAAACGUUAGUUACCCUGUUCUCGAACUUUUUUUUGCCUGCUUUGUCUCAACGAAAGCUUUUAGCCCAUCCAGCUUGAAUGAAGCUAGAUCUUCCCCUAUAAUAUGCUUUCCUUCGGGGCAGGUUCUUUAAAAAGAAAAGAAGAAAACGUGAGACCGGUUGACUUCUCCGUCCUCAGCUUGUUGAAUUGCAUGGUGGAGUUAGGGCUCCCAUAUAAAACGUAUAGUCAGUGGGUUGAGUGCUAUCAACCAGAUAAGAUGCUGAUAGUCUCGCAGAAGUACUUAACCUUGAAGAUCAAAUAAGAUUUACCAUUUCUAGAUCAGACCCGGGGUCAGUUCGAAAUACGACUCCCGUAAAUAGAUCUGGUCAAGGAAAGCAUGUUGAAUAUCCAGUUUCAUAAAAAUAACUACAUUCUCACAUUUCUCGAUCAGAAAACUAAUAAGAUAAAAAACGCCAUCAUUCUUAUUUUAGAGAGGUGUCCCCAGAAGAAGAUUUCUUCAGUAUUAGCUGAAUGUCUGACUUAUGGUAGGAAGCUGUAGUUAGGGACGCCCCUACUUUAUUUACAAGAUGAAAGAGAUCCGUAUCAAGAGCUUAUUCUUUUGGCUUUAAGCAUGGCGUUUUCAUUCAUUUGUAACUAUAUAGAUAUAUAGCCCUUGCAACCAUGUCCUGGUCUACCCUUUUCCCUGAUCUUUGGACCCGUCCACUUAACUUGAGCUUACAUCUUGACCCUUGUAUGUAGAUUUCUGAUUUCCUUCGCAAUGAACAAUCUAUUCUCCACUUUUGAAUAAAAACACCAACCACAACCGACCCAAUAGUAGGAGUAGGCGGCAGUGAAAGUGCCACAGCCAGGGGAAGUGCCAGAGUCUAGAACCGAAGGUGGUUGCCACCUGAUAAGAUCCAAAGCGCAGCAAAGCCCCACGAAAGCAAAUAGUACGGGUGGAGGAGUUACCGUGGGCACCGUGUUGGUUCAAUCUCUCUAUAGGUAGUGUGAAAAACCCUCAAUUCAAGAGUUCCUGUUGACGGUCCCAUUCCUUACUCUCUUUUUCAACUAACUUAAUUGUAGUCCGCAUUUCAUUCUGCUGAGGAUUUUGCGUAUCACAGCUUUCGAUCGACCAAUACCCAAUCCGCUAUUAACAAGCAGUUGGAUAGAGCUUCACCAGAGGGAUUUGGUGUAACAACCCCCUUUACUGCACACUCAAUUAUAAGGAGAUUCUUUCGGGUUAAUGCAAAACGAAGUUCUUUUCUCAUAAAUCAGGUCAAAAUCUUGAAAUCAUGCCAAAAAAACGGGGGGGGGGGNNNNNNNNNNNNNNNNNNNNNNNNNNNNNNNNNNNNNNNNNNNNNNNNNNNNNNNNNNNNNNNNNNNNNNNNNNNNNNNNNNNNNNNNNNNNNNNNNNNNNNNNNNNNNNNNNNNNNNNNNNNNNNNNNNNNNNNNNNNNNNNNNNNNNNNNNNNNNNNNNNNNNNNNNNNNNNNNNNNNNNNNNNNNNNNNNNNNNNNNNNNNNNNNNNNNNNNNNNNNNNNNNNNNNNNNNNNNNNNNNNNNNNNNNNNNNNNNNNNNNNNNNNNNNNNNNNNNNNNNNNNNNNNNNNNNNNNNNNNNNNNNNNNNNNNNNNNNNNNNNNNNNNNNNNNNNNNNNNNNNNNNNNNNNNNNNNNNNNNNNNNNNNNNNNNNNNNNNNNNNNNNNNNNNNNNNNNNNNNNNNNNNNNNNNNNNNNNNNNNNNNNNNNNNNNNNNNNNNNNNNNNNNNNNNNNNNNNNNNNNNNNNNNNNNNNNNNNNNNNNNNNNNNNNNNNNNNNNNNNNNNNNNNNNNNNNNNNNNNNNNNNNNNNNNNNNNNNNNNNNNNNNNNNNNNNNNNNNNNNNNNNNNNNNNNNNNNNNNNNNNNNNNNNNNNNNNNNNNNNNNNNNNNNNNNNNNNNNNNNNNNNNNNNNNNNNNNNNNNNNNNNNNNNNNNNNNNNNNNNNNNNNNNNNNNNNNNNNNNNNNNNNNNNNNNNNNNNNNNNNNNNNNNNNNNNNNNNNNNNNNNNNNNNNNNNNNNNNNNNNNNNNNNNNNNNNNNNNNNNNNNNNNNNNNNNNNNNNNNNNNNNNNNNNNNNNNNNNNNNNNNNNNNNNNNNNNUUGCAGGUAAAGCUAGCAGUAGUUGGAGCUAAAGCAAGCUAGCUAUAGGUGUUCGGAUAGUUGUGUUGAUAGAGGGUUUUCUCCCGGGAGACAUAUCGAUUACACACAAGAACCUAACUCUACUUCUUUUAUCCUCCUUACUGCUCCUUAUCUCAUUUCUCCUUUUAUUAGCACAGCACCUUGUACUCCUUUACAGAAGCUGUAUCGCUCAGAGCACAAAUCGUUGUGCUCCUCACUGUUCAAGAGAGUUCUUGCCCUUCUCUGAUCGGGGAAGGUCAUUUAAAAACACUAGAUCAGCCCAUUUCAGUUGAAGAAAAAAAGUGAUCCACCUAGAAUAUAUGAUCGAUACCAAAAGAUUGGAUGUCAUUUCUCAACACCAGCUUCUCACCUGGAGGAGGAAAGGGAGAUAUGAGCAUAGCGAUAGCGGUAUCUUUUCCUCUUUUGAUAGAAGCCCACAUGCCCACUCUUCUACCCCCCCCCCCGUACCACAGGGUAUCAGGGGCCUCAUGAUCUCCACGAACAGAGAUCACUACACAGGAAACAGCUAUAUGAAAAACUUGCUUGCUUCUUCGAAUCUCGAAAUAACAGAACAUAUAGAAAGUGUUUUUGUGAUUUUUCCAUUCUCUUCGGGGAACCUAUAGAAAGAUUAUCAGACGGCUUUCAUGAUAUUAUGCUUCCUUGCCCGUGUGGAACAUGUGUGAGCAUUAUGUUUUUCCAACAAGUGAUCCGACUGGAAGAAGUGUUAUAUGAGGACUUCGAGAUCAAAUAGAGAAUUUGUCUCUCCAUUCCUCGUGAGCCACUUAUUUCUCCGAAAUCAGAGAUCAGAGUGAUUUUCCUCCUUUUUCCCAAAUAGUCGACGGUCUUACACCAUUGGAUACUUCGGAUAAACUGGAGUACAUAUAUGAGAGACCGGUGCUAAAACCUUUUCUCGAGAUAUCUUCCAGAUUCUUAGGGUCCUUGCUCCGGAUCUCGCCCCCCCGGUGCGAAAGCAGUUGGUUCCGUAGUUUGAGAAUUCUACUAAUUCCAAGUAUUCCAUUAUUAUUAUUAAAUAAGAGAAUAUAAAAAGUAAAGAGGAGAAGACAUAACCAGAAGAAUUGUGAGAAAUAAGUUAAUUUAUCAAGUUGAGGCAUUUCGAUUUGGAUUUCAAAUAAGAAAAAAAGGAUUUUGUGAAAUUUAGGAGUCGUUCGAAAGCAUCAAGAGGGAAGAACUCAGAUAGAAAGGCAGGCGAAGUUGGCGGACAACCUAAUUCCCCUCCCAGUUGUACCCUUGUGCAUCCCCUUCGUAAACGAUUUCCACUGGAUCUGGAGAUUCGCCGGGGCCCCCCGAAUCAUCAUCUUCAGACCCCGAAUCAUCAUCCCACCUUUUACGCUUCCGCGAAGAAGACGGGCCUGCCUCGUUCGCCCCAUCAUUUGCUUUUGUGCUUUCAGGGGAUCCCGUGGAAUGAGCCUCCUGCUCUUCCAAAGGCGCAUCAGGGUCGGGAGAAUCCGGUUCACCGAGCUCGGCGCGGCGAAACCGCUUCGCCAGAUUGGUGGCUAUUGCGACGAAUUCGCUUGCGUCCCCGGCUUCCGUAUAAUCGGAGAAGAUUUGUUGAAGAGUAUCUCCUCCCUCACUAUUCCACAAUACAUGAUUUUCAGUGAACGAUCGCGCAGAUUCACCUUCCUCUAAAGGAAGAGGAGUGCCUACUUCGUGAAAUAUUCUUUCAACCUUGGAAGUCAACUCCGCAAUUAUGUCUUCGGGAUGGGCGGCGUGCGCCAUUUCCUGCUGGAGGUCUGGUAGUCCGCCAACGGGAGGUUGGUCUAUGGGAAAGUCACCCCCGUUAGGAGCAUUGGUCAUGACGAGAACAUUGAGAUCCGCGACAUUCUCAUUCCCAAGAUGAAAGGCUAUUCCUUGAACUCCGAAUAAGACAACAAAUGCCAUUAUUAGUACUGUCAACGCAAGACCAAACGAUGGUAUAGCAAUGAACAAAAGAAUGACACUUGGAAAUAUGGUCCGAAUAAUUUCGAUAGUAGUUCCAUGAACAAUCCUUUGUGGGAUUGGAUUAGUUUGCUCGUUGAACUGCCAUAAAGCGCGAACCAACAUCCGUGAUACGAAAACCAAAAUAAGAAUGAGGAAGAAAAAGAUAUCGUGAUGUAAGUCAAUGAUCAUGGGGACACAUUGUUUUGAGGACCACAAUUUCCUGCACUGUCCCUGUAGUGAUUUCAGAAUUCGGCAACUUAGCCUACUAAAAGAUCAGUUACAAGAGCACAAUGCUUUUUGUGGCUUCCUGCUCGGCAGAGAAGCCACGCUGCCGGGGCGGCCCUGUCACCCGGAGAAGAUUUCUUUUCUUUGCUGAUUCCUCUCAAUGAAAUUUGCGAAGAAUAGCGGAGAGAAAUGGUAAUGUAAUAAGGGAAAGGGAGCUAGCUGCUUCCAUAUCGCCCCCAAAAAAGAACCCAAAAGUUCCAGAGGCAUCUUCCAUUCAUUUCGAUUUAGGUCUUUCUGCACCAUAUUUAGAUCUUCCCUUUCUACGAUCCGGAAUUCCCAGCAAAUCCUUGACUCCUCGAAUACGAUGGGAUUUCACACCUGGCGAAUCUUUCACUCUACCUCCUCUGACUAAGACUAUAGAAUGUUCCUGCGAAUUAUGACCUUCGCCUGGAAUGUGAGCAAAUAUAUCAUGUCGAUUGCUCAACCGUACUUUUGCUAUCUUACGUAGAGCUGAAUUAGGUUUUUUCGGUGUUCUCGUCGAAACACGCAGGCAUACUCCUUGCUUCUGGGGACAUUGAUCCGAAGCUCGAGUACGGUCCGUGCGCCGUUUUUCUUCUCUACCAUGACGAAUCAAUUGAUUUUUUGUAGGCAUCCCUCUUUCCUAUGUCCUUCCCCCCUUUGCCCUUUCUAAAGUGGUUACUCCCGAUCCGAAGCACCCCUUUUCCAUUCAUAGAGAGAUCCAAUCGUCAAAAUCAAUAAAAAGGCCAUCAUGGACCAAGAUCCAAACAGAUCAAUCUUGUUAGGAGGUACUGCCCAAGGAAAAGAAAAGGUGACUUCCGGAUCAGGGAUAAUAAAUAAAAUAGGAACCAGAUAAAAUCGUAUAUCGAAACGACUUCUGGCAUCACCGGAGGGAUCGGAACCACAUUCGUAGGCCGACAAUUUUUCUGGAUAGGUCGAACUAUUGGAAGCAAAUGGAAAAGGAACACCGAGUGGAAUCGAAGAAACUAGCAGACUGAUCACUAAAUAGAUACAAACAGGUGCAAAUUCCGACAUCACCAAAGCCCACUUCGUUCUCUCGCUCUCCUCGCGGCGCUCCUUGCUCGCGGAGUGGCAUACCGAAAAAAAGACGCUCAGAUGUGGAUUCGAACCACUGAAGGAUUUCCAGGGCAAUGCCCCUUGCUCUUCCCACUGAAACAAGAAAAAAAGGAUUUGCAGUCCAGCAAGAAAAUGGAUGCGCUAACGCGCAACGGCUUUCGCGCUAGUUGCUCAAUCCGUUGCUUGUUUUGCUCUAACCAGCUGAGCUACCAGAACCACUUGCCUAAAGUCUCUUUUCUUCAUCUAUGAGCAUCCUACCUGCAGUGGAGGAGCUUGCUCAAGAACCGAGAGCCGGCCAGAGACUGGACGGCCCUCGUUCGGGAAGGUCUUCUUCGCUAUAGACGCCACCAAGAACAAGAAAGGGGCGCUCCGCUCCUAGUCACUAAGCAGCUAUUCUGUCCGACGGCGGACUCCAUCAAUCUGAGGUUCUUUCUCUCACGUAAUUUCGCCCGCCCGUUCUACUUCCGUGCCGCAGGAAAUGGGAUUCGAACCCAUGAUACAAUCUUCUUGUAUGUCGAUUUAGCAAACCAAUGCCUUAAGCCACUCAGCCAUACCUCCAAGUUGUUGAUCGGAAUUGGAUGUGCCGGGUUGGUUGCCCGAAGAUCCACUGCGUAAGCCGUAGCGCGCGUACUCUUCUUUACUGAGCGAGAAAGACUCUAUCCAGAUCUAUGGAUCUCCCCAGCGUCCAAGCGAGACCCCAUCCAAACCAAAUCCGCCACUCAUUGGGUGAGGCCUUGCUUUCUAUGAACACCUCACCACUGAAUGAGAAACUUAGCCUCCGACCCGACCAAGAGGGAAGACAGGGUCAAGACGACGCCGCCCUUCCUCACCUGCCUGAAUGGAAUGAAUAUCUCCUUCGUCUAGUCGAGAAGGGAAAAAGCCCGGCGGGGAACAGGACCGUGACUCUUCUAAACCAUUACAUGACGGAGAAGUCCAUUCUCGUCAUGAUCGAUCCACGUCCUACCAUAGUGCCCGGAGAACCUGCUUCUAGAAGAUUCUAUAGUGAUCCACUGGAAUCGGCCUCGGGUGACGCCUCCCUAGUCGUCGAAAGAUUUCAUCCCUUGCUCGGUCGUUAAGGUGGGGUGAAAACUGCAAUUAAUGCUCUAUCUCCAUCAUAGAAUAUGGGAUACUCACUUUCAAUGGCCUCGCAUCCCCAGAGCCUCAGACUGGCCUGCCCUUCCAAUCAGGGUUAUAACGGGUCCAGUAUCAGCAACACCAGCCAAUCGUGUUGGUACGGUGGGUUCCCCAUACCCACUAUUCGGAAAAAAAGCUUGCCAUAGCAGCUCAAACCUCCGAUCGGGAAAUGGGAGUUCUAACCGGUCCUAACCCCAAUUCCAAACAAAUUGAUUGGACCGAGGUUCGUGCAGGGAGAGAAUAGAAACUAAUAACGAUGGAGCAAGAAAACGGAUGCGCUAACGCGCAACGGCUUUCACGCUAGUUGCUCAAUCCGUUGCUUGUUUGGUUCGAGGUUGAGCUCACCCGCCGCCCUACGUCAGUAGUCUUCCUAACUUCUAUGCCCUUUUUUUUGCUCUAAGGUAAGGUCCUUCAAGAACAGCAUUGCGGUAGCAACGGGGCUCUGGGUGAAUAUUGUCCGCCCGUAUGAGCCGGGCUGUGAAUAUUUAUAGGUCGGGGUCUUUACUGAAAAACCACAAUACUACACUACAACAAUUUGAAGAAAUCCGCAAGUGACUCUAAUUUGAAUUCACUAGUCGUGUUGAGUUUUUUUUAUUUCAAUAUAAAAAAUCUGCCAAUCCCGAUAUUCCCACAUUUCAUUCUGGUCCAGUGUCCAUUCCUGAAUGAAAGAAAUGAGCUUUGCCCCUUCACUCACUUCUGAAUGACUCCUUUAGCACUCUCUUUUUUAGAUCAAAAAAUAGAAACAGUUUACCUUUACCAUACCUUCCAAGCAAGAGUGUUUUAUUGCAAGAUUAAGUUAUUACUGAACAAAGAGAAAUUCUCAUUAUAAAGGAUGAGAGAAAUUCGGAAGCACUUUUUUCUUAUUCUAGCAGACGGAAUUGAAUUGGUCUAAUUUAGGACUUUCCAAUCGAUUUUUAUCUUACCUAAUUCUAUCUACGCCCAGGGGGUAGGUACGUCGCAAGCUCUGGGCAGCUAUCUUAUUCCAAAGAAUAUAGCUCCCUAAAAGGUUGCCGAUACCAUACCUCUAUUGAACCCUACUAGAUCCAAUUGUUUAAGUGUUUAGUCGAGAGGAACCACAUUGACACCAUGCUUGUGCUAAGCCACAGCUCCAUCAAACUAAUCUGGAUUUCUUCUUGUUUACGAAUAAUGGGGCAUCUGCCUAACCCUAUCAAACCUCUCUGCAACUACUUCUCUCUGUUCUCAGCAGCCCGCAGGAUUUUUCGAGUCUCAAAGUCCUAUUAGAACUCCCGCGCUUGCUCCUUUGGAGCCAAAUGGAUCCGAAUUUCGGUAAGAUAAUACAAGAAUCGUAUUUGGUUGGGUUCUAACUCUGCUGUUCAGUCUGGCGCGGGUGUGAUACCGGUGAAGAAGCGAGUAGUUGACAGUCAGGGAAGUAGAUUCCUUUAAGGAGAGAAAUUCAUUGGUUUAGCCGUUAGGCGGAGCUUCUUUACACGCCGGUAGCGGAACAGCCCAGGCAGCUUAACGUGCUCUUGGCACAAAGGUAAUAGAAUGGGAGUCUGACGACACCCGGUACUCGGGAUCUCCUGCUUGAAGAAGCAAGGAAUUUCAAUUACUCAGCCGUUGAAUAAAAUAAACUAGAUACCCAUGUUUCCAAUAUUUACUUCUCUUUACUUGCAGGACCUGGCCUAAGCAUAAAGUAGAUUUGCUGCACAAGCUCAAGUGGAGGAGGAAGCAGGGGUGGCGAACAAAAUGUUGGUAUGGAAGAUCUCUCGCUCCCCCCCUGAAGGGUUCUUAGAUUACCAAGUAAGGGAGGGAGGUAGGUACCAUGGUUUCCUUCUUUUAUUGAAUACCAGUAACGCGAGUAAACAUUUAAGUGAGAAGUUAGGUAAGCGUUGCCAAUGGCCAAAGCCUUUACUCUUUACUUCUUGACUAUAGUAAUAGUAAAUAAUGUCACUAGAUUUCGGCAUAAAUACUAGCCAGGUACCAUUUCCCAAACUUGAUUUCCUUUUUAUGCACCUGUUUAUGCACCUGGGUCAUUGUUCACGAACUAAGAUGGCUUAGCCGCCUUUCUUUGGGCCGUAUGAAGGAAGUACUUCAACGAAUGGGUAGGUUGCCAACCCAACAUUAUAGGCGGGAAUUUCUCCUUUCUCCAAGUAUGCUCAUUAGACCGAUAGGUGAGUAGCUAGUAUAGUAGUAGCCAAUACUAAAAACCGAUAGUAGAAGGGUCGGUGGAUGGCCCUUGCGAAAGUGGACACGCCGCAUCCCUUCAGUAGCCAAUCCUUUUUCUCAACGAUGCAGUUCGCUUGGAACAUGGCACAAGGUGUGACGUUCCGAGCGGUGGAGGACAACCUGUUUGUUGUUCCAGCUUUCUGCCUUGGCGACUGGCAGAAGCUCAUGGAAGAAGGGCCGUGGAUGUUCCGCAACCAUGGCGUGUAAAGAAGCCUUACGACGGGAUGGCUAACCCGCGAUCUGUGGUUCCGAACCAGAUUCACGUCUGGUCGCAGAUUCAUAAGAUCCCGGAACUGUUCCGCCUGGAAAACCUGGUGCGGGAUCUGACUAAUAAGAAGCAACAAUAGAGAAUCUCGCCUAGCUCGAGGCUGCGCCUCAGUGCCCUCUGUAAGUACAUUCUAGUAAAAAGAACUACCUUUCAAAGCACAUACCAUUAUGGCUAGCUAAAACGAAAGAAUGAGAGUACAAGGUAUGGGUCUACGCUUCCAGCUUGCUCUAGAAAAACGGAAAUGGGAUCUCUCUCUGGUGGGAGCCUGGCAGCGGGGAAAACGGCACCAACAGGGGUCCAGGUCUCCAUGAUGAACAACCACAACUUUGAUCUUAACGAGGUGCCGCCUGAGCAUGAGCAGCUCGUUCAGGAGCAGCCACUGUUAAAAAUAGCGAGCCUCUAGAGGAUGACGCUGAUACAUCAUUUGAUUUGUUUCGGGAUGCAGAAGAACAGCCUGAUGAGUACAAUUAUGAUUAUGAUGACUAUGUUGAUGAAUCCAUGUGGGGAGAUGAGGACUAGACAGAACAAGAACAUGAGAAAGCGGAAGAUUACGUGAGCAUCUAUGCUCACAUCUUGUCCACCCCAGUAAGUGAACCUUUUGUAUCCUUUUGCUUAUAUUUUGCUGUUCGUUCUGUAAAUGACCUUGAGUUGUUUUUCACAUUCUUUCUACAGGUAAUUGCAGAUAUUGACAAAGAUGGUGUACAUGAAAUGGUGAUUGCACUUUGACUCAAAAGCACUAUUCGAUAAGACGCAGUAGAACUGUGCACCCGUUUUUGUUUGAGUUUGAGGCGACCUAUACUACACUAUAAUAGCAAGGAGAGACAGCAGCUGAUACCAGAUCAUACUACAGUACAACUAGUGCGUGCUAAAACCCUCCUUGUGUACUAGGCUUAUGAAUAAACUAAACUGUUGAGACGUCUCUAGUGUAGGUGACAGGGAAGCCAUACUCGUUAGAAGAUAAAACAGAUGGUUUGAGCAAGCAUGGGUUCAAGCUCUAGUGGAUGGGUUUGAUAGCUGAACGCAAGGAUAAUUCAUCUACGUAGCUAGUUGGUUAUGGUGGCGGAGAAGCCCCUCUUUAGCUAGAUUGGGCUCCUUUACUACUUUAUUUAACCCGGGGUUAUGCCAAAAACCGGUAUCUUAUGCGUAUUCGACUAGUUCCAUUUCUGAUUCUCCUUCUUCGCUGGGGUCUACAUACGAAAGAAUGGAACACUCGACAGCUUCGAUACUCAAAUAACCAGCUCAUUAUGCUUAGGUUGGGUUAGGAAAACGAAGCUUUCCAAGGGACUAGUUCUUUCGCGCAUCUGUUUCUCCAUCCGUUCUCUUCACAUAAGAAGCCAGCCGCCUACUCCUACUAUUGGGUCGGUUGGUCGGUCAAGUGAACCACGCCCAGCAGGUGGGUAUGCCGAUAAGAUUCCUUUGUUCGACGUACGUCCAUAUGAAGCGAGCGCUUCAAAACGAGGCUAUUAUGCUGAAACUAGGGCUCCCUCUGGACGGGUAGAGCGAGAGGGAUAGCAAGCACUUGAAAAGGGAAGGAAGGGUCUUAGAACUACUGAAACAGUAGUAGAACUCUUCCAAAAUCAAAAUAGGAGAGUGAAAAACAAAAAGAAGACCAUUGGGCUGGGGAAGACUCCCUCAAUCACUCUGCUGGGCGAUGCUUCUUACUCUACCUUUCAAUUCCUUUGCCUUUCUUCUUCUGAUCGAUCCAAUGGUUCGGACUAGGACGCGUAAACCCCGAAGGGAGAUUGACCCUACCUAAGUAUUUUCUUAGAUAGAAGUGGUUGGUCAAGUGUGAGUCACGCCGGGGCGGGUAGACCCACUUUUAAUAGCAACGCCCAGAUCAAUGGAAAAUGGAAGUUUCUGGAAUUGCAGCUCUGUUCUGUUCAAGAAGUCUUUCUCCAGGGUUCGGUUCAGAAGGCGGGAUGGAAGAGAGAGAAUGGGCUCAUCGUGCGACAAGGUCGAUCGAUCACUCAAACUGUUCGGUAUCUCUACAAUUGAGUGAGCUGUGUUGCGAAGGAAAAUGAUGAAAUUGCUUACUUUUCACAGGCGUGAAUUCUAUCUUCGAUUAGAUAGUUUCCAUGCUUUUGAUAAAAAGAUGGGUUGGUAUCUGAAUGAAAGUCGGUAAGCAAUCAAUCUAGUGCUGUCCUCGGCAGACCAGGAAAUGUAAUAAACUUUGGAGCCUCAUCAUUGGAAAGAUUGACAACUUAACGGUCUGAAAAACUAUUCAAAGAGUGACUUUUAAGCCCCACUGGUUCGCUUUAUUUUCAACGGACAUUUCCUCCCUCGUCAGCAGCUUCAUUACCUGCUAAGUCUGGAAGGGUAGUAAAAUCACUCACAACAAUCAAUCUUUUCUUAUGAUACUGAUACGAUGCAAACGGUGACAACCCCAGAUAAUGUGUCUGUGCAUUUGUGUCUGUCUUCCCUUAGAUGUGAGGAGUCGAAUCUCUAUUGAAAUCUGGAAUCACAAGGUAUCCUUUCUUUAAAAACACAUGAACGGGCGCCCUGAAUGAAUAAGAAAUCGCUGCUAUAACAGAGAGUUGCCCCAGAUCAUACAAUGUGGUUCUCUACUUUCGGCUGGCUGGCAGAUCAGCGUAUUUAUACGAAAGAGUAGACAAAGGUUCUGACAGGGGUAACUACUACCAAGAAGCGAACUCAGAGAGAUGAAGAGAGAGAAGUUAGCCGCAACCGAUCAUCGGAGGAAGCAGGCUUACAAGAAACUGAUGGGACGAUCGGAAGAAGAGAGUGAUAACAGGUUUCUAGUUGACAACCUUCCGCAUUUCUUAUUGGGAUAGAUUUCGUACAUUCCGAUUUCCUUUACCCUCCCAUGAGGAAAAGCUGGUGUGAUUAAGGUUAUCUAAAGAAAAGCUCAUAGUGUUAUGCCUUGUAGCUUAUUCCACUCUCUAUAGUAGUUCCCUUCGAUUCAACGCAGUGAAGACAGUUUCAAUCGGGUCGAUGGACCCUUGGUUGUUUUUGUGAUAAGUCGCUAUUAUCAAAUAAAUAGUCAUUUCUUGCUCGAUUCGAGAGGUGAUUUCAUUCCACAGUGACAAUUCAUGUUGAACGCGUCCUCCGGCAUUUACGAUUCUUCCUACAGAGGGCACUACUGGCAAAGAAUAACCUUUCCACCCGGCGAGAAAAAGAGACAGAGGUUUGCACUUGGUCCUCUUGGUUAGGAUGUAGAGGGGAUCUAUCAACAAUCCCGUCGUCUUCUUCCAGCUUUUUCCUCUGAAUUUGAUAUACUUCAAAAACGAAUCACUCUUUUCAGUAUGAAUGGCUCACUCUCCCAUUCUUUCCGGCUAGGGCAGCAGCUAGACCCAUAUCUUUUGAUGGCGAGCAUCGAUCGAGAUCCUUCGGUGAAAGCUAGAACCAACUCUGCGAGGAAAGCGGAAGCAAACAGUUAUGAUGUGGUUGAUAGUGUUUUUAGGGAUAACCUAAGUCGUCGUUACCCGACAUAGUCAACGGGGUACCUGCAUUCUUUAACAAUUCCGGACAUAGGAACAAUGAGCUGUCUCCACGGCUUCUCUUCCAAACCAAUAUCGCAAUGGAUCUAUCUUCAGCUUAUUCUCUCAAUCAAUGAAUGCGGGUCAUCGUGGAGAAUCAGGGGAAGUGUAGACUAUAAGUAGCCAAUUUGCAAUUCAUUUCCUUGGCAAUGACGAGUGAUGGUAUCUCGAAGCCAUUCAUCUUAUCUCUGCAGCAGGAGAUUCUUCACCGGACAAAAGAUAAGGAAAAGACAAAGAAAUCCCAUGGGUAGUUUUUGGAAAAACCAAUUCUGACUUCUCUUCUGAUCUUCUUGGCUAUGCGGAGGAGUCAGUAGAAACUGAACUCUAUAACUCUUUUAUUUAAGCUGAGUCGACCAAUCCAUGUGGAACCAUAGGAAGCCGAAAGAAAGAUAGAAUGAAUAGAAUACAGCUCAACAUUUGAAGAAUGGAAUCUGUCCCUUAAACCUCCAAGAAAUCGAAUAAAUCUAACUAUAGUGGUUGGUGAUUCCUGGUCGAGUAAUAGUAUCUCGGAAAAUGGAGUUUCCACUGUUUGUAUGGUCUCGUGGUAGAUUACCUUCUCCAGGCAGGGAAAGGGCGCCGAAAUGAAUUAGAUAUCUUUCCACGGCUGUAACUACUAGUCAUUCUACCCCUUAGAACACCUAGUAAAACUACUAGUCCUGGUCGAUACACCUACUCGUUUCGUUGCAACUGUCCAAUAAGCUAGGGUCGGGCAUGUCCAAAGAAGAAUGUACCUGGGUCGGUAGCGAGGAAGUAAACUAGUGCUUUCCAACUGAGCUGGAUACAUCAUAGUCCUGGAUACAUACAUAUAGCAGGGGUUGCUCGCCUUGUUGAAACUAGUCCCCUUGCUGGCUCGGAAGCACCAGACCUAUUCGUUUCACUCGAGAAAUUCAUUUGCUUCACCGGUUCGAUAUGCGAUAUCAAAAUCCUUUCCUUCCACGGAUGCGACUAAAAAGAGAGUAGCUUCUCCUGCUCGCCUUGUUGAAACUAGUCAUUCUGUUUCUGCUGUGGCUGGUUUAUCGGCUGCUCCAACUAUCCAAUCUGUCCCAACAGAGUUAGGCAUUCCUUCUGAGCUAGCUAGGGAGUCAAUAGCAAGACCGGGUACAACAAGCCUAUUAGAGAAUGAAGUAGCUCGAGUUCGGGGUUAUCUCUCCUUUACGAAAUAGAGGUUCACUUCGACUUUACUACUUUCCAGCCAACGCACUCUACUCAAAUUGAAGGAAAUUUUUUGGCCCCUAUUCUAUUUAUUUAUUAAGGGAGGGUACUCAUAACGUUGAAUCACUGUUUUUCUUUCCUAAUGUUCAUCUCAAGCUAGCUUCGACAUCUGGUUAUCGUGGUUCUUUCUCCUCCUUUUCUAUCGCUUGCUUUCCAUAUUCCACUUUGACUUUAUUUAGUAUUGGCUUAAGGCUGUUGGUUCAACCGACUAUAAGAAGUUCCAGAAGGGGUCCCGGCUCGGGGGCGGGGGUAUCUUACCUCUUUUCCUCUGCGUUCGUGACAAGCUAGUAGGCACUCUUGUGUGGGUUGGCUCAUUCCCUCGGAAAACGAAUAUUAAGAAGAUAGAUACCAUUCCGUCGAUACUAGAUUCAUUCUUUCCGCGAGGGCCUCUGCUUCUCUCUGUUCGGUGGGAGAGUAUGGUAGUUGUCCUUCAGCAUCUCUCUCAGGAUCAAUGCCAUUGCUCGAUAUGAUGCGAAAGUCAAUUCUAUACCAACGGCAUCGUAUAACAAUAGCUCUUGUCUAGGGAAAUGCAAAAAGUAUGAGGCCAUAACAUCCGUACCAACACCGACGAACUGACCCAGUUAAAGAACAACCGCGUGCUCAAUUCUUAGUUCUGCUCUUUAGCCAAAAGGGUAAUGGAAUAAUUGCGCUGUCUAUAGGUGGAGAUGAGCUGACUCAAACGAAUGGUCAUGCCAAUGACAAAAAGGACAUCCACACUGAAGCUUAUUACUCGAUUACUGUUAGACCCAUGUUGUAUGCCCUCAUUAGGAGCCCGCAAGCCACUCCUACCUCGCGGGUGAUGCAUUCCCUUCUCCAGGUACUAAAAGUGAUAAAUAGGCUCGAUUCUCAUAAGAAACAUGCCACUGAAACCAAAGGAAGUACAUAUAUCUUCUUAGACGGAAGGGAGGGACUAGGGCAAGAUAGCUUUAUCACAGACAGGGCUGCAUCGACCAAUCGCUUUUCAUUGAGAAUAGGAACGAACAGCUUUCGUAGACCUAGCUUUCGUACUGAUCUUUUGGAUUCGCCGGCCUGCCUAGCCUAGGUUGUUGUAUACUCAACUUGAGUUGGUUUUGUCCCUUCGCUCGGAAGAGGUGGCGUCAAUGCCGCUCCCAAAGAAUGUUGAGUCCAUUUUGAUCCCAAGAAAUGCGUAUAGCAAAGUGAAAUAGUUGAUGCGAUGUGCCCGUUUUCUUUCGAUAGACCAAUGUCAUCCGCUAUAGUGCCUACCAAUAGUGGAGCCGUGGAAGAACAGAACAGACAUUCAAAGCAACCGAUCAGAAGAUAAGUAUGAAUUGGGACAAAAAGUAUGACUUUUCCCAGGAUCAAACUUUUUUAAAAAGAUACCCCGCGAAAAUAGGCAUUUACAAAGGGAAUGAUAAAAAGUAAGGUUUUCCACAUGGUGAGAUGAACUUUUUCCCGAUUUUUCGACGAAAAAUAGCCAUUUAUAUAUAUAUAUAAACACCAUUCUAUCCAGCAUGGGACAAAAGUACAGACUUGUCAUCUCCCUUAGGAAAUGAGCAAAAUAUGCUCCAUUUUAAAAAACUUUCUAUCCAGCAUGGGGCAACUUGGUACUUUUUUUCGUUGCUAAGGGAAAUUGCCCUUUUUCAUGGUCAAUUUUCCGAUCACUUCAAGCCAGCUAGGGCGAAAAGUAAAGCAAAAUGGAUUGCUAAGGGGAAUUGGCAUUUUUCAGCCUCCUUUUAAAAACAAAGUGGAAGCCAGCUACAACGAAAACCUUACUUUUUUUUGUUUCUAAGGGUGGGUCAAUAAAGUUAAAACUUCUGUCUCAUAUAGCUGCAAAACCUCAUAUUUUACAGAUCGAAUUCAUCAACGGAAAGGCGGCUAAACCUAUUCUUGAUACUUGUUCUGACCGCAUAAUGUAAGUGCAUGAAAUCGAAUCAAUGGCUUCAGAUUGAUAGGAAUACAGAUUGUAAUUAAAGAAAUGAAGCCAUCUUUCCUUGCCCCUGGAAGGCGCCUGCUCUUUAGUUGAGUAUGAAAAGUGCCCCGCGAAGGAACAAAACCAACUCAAGUCAACCGUCCCGUCGAUUCGAUCUGAAGUAUGAAUUGGCCGAAGCAGAUACCAAGGCUUCAUUGAACAGAGGAGUAGAUGAGAUGAGGCCGACCUAUCCACACUGUAAGUAACGGCAAGUGCUAAUGCCUCUGAGCUUGACCUGGAAAAACCCCUUUUGUGAACUUGAAAACCGACAUGGUCAAAGCACGGAAAGGAAAGUAUUGGAAAAGCUAAGCUACAUCAACAUAGGUUCUAUUUUGCUACCUUCACUUCUGACUUCACUCCCACCUAUUGAUAUUGAUCUUACCUUACCUCGAGAAGUUAUUCGUUUAGGUCUCGAUUACCAAUUGAUACUAGUGUUUAUCUAGUCCAACUUGAAUGAAGGAAGAGGUUCACUACUGACUGAACUGAAAUACGCCAGAAAAUCGAUUUGUCCAAAGCUGAAGGAAAAGGAGAUCCAAGUAGAAUCCCAAUGGGCCGCAGAUCAUAUGAGGGGAGGCCUGUGGCUGAUUGUACAAGAAGGAUAUGAGAAAUCAUAAAAAGGGGGGUCAGCGAUUUCAAGCUUGGGCGGUUUUCCGACAUCUUCCUCGGGCUUUGGAAGAACAUAGUAUCUCUCGUUUCGUGCUGAUCUGGCCAAUAUAGAAGGAGAAGGUCAGUUAAGCAAAGCAGGUGUGAGCCUUCUCUUGUAAAAGGCACCGUAGCCUUAUCCGCACUGUGUAGAAGCAUCCUGCCUUUCCUUAAACCUGAUAUAAUGCUUUUUCCUUGUCCAGAACUAGCUUGUUUCACUAGAUGAGGGAAAAGCGGGAUACCAAUUAUGUUGGGCUGACUUCGAGAACUUCACUUUUUCUAUUUUCUAGAAAGGUUUGAACGUGGCACUAAACCCUCGAUGUCAACUAAAGAAAAUAGUUCAAGACAGUAGAGCAGUGAGGUUCAGCAUUUCGUUUAGUGAAUGCGGAGAUAAAGGCAGCUACUAUUCAUGCAAUGCAAUUGGACCGCUGGGUAAUGCAAGGGAAGAAUGUUCUCAUAUCCAUGCCCCAUAUUGAUUUUUUUUAUAGAAUCAAGCCACUUCUAUCGCUUCUCCUAAUCUAUAUCGGGGUUGGCCACAGCUCAAACAAAGGGACCAAACAGAAGAGUCCCCAACCCCGAGUUGGCUCCUCUUCUCAAUAAUAAAGAGGAGAUACAACACUCUAAAGCCAAGAUGCACUAAUAGCCAAUCAAGACACUGAAGCACUAAGCACUAAUGGCCAAUAGUAUAGUAUCUUUGUUUGGAUGACUUCCCUCCUACCACUGAUAAGCUGAGGUUGAAGAGACAGUUGUGGGUACGAGAUCCUAUGGCGGUAAAGGAGACCUUUCAAAUACAGUAAAUGCUCAAUGUACCAUCACAGGGUCAAAGAAGCCUGCUAGGUGCCAUAGGAUGUGCCGAAAUGCCUACCUCUAUGGUUUGCGUAUAACGUGAAUAGCUCCUGUCUGUUGUUUAAAAAGAACAAAAGCACGAGGUAGGGGAGGUUCAGCCGUCAGAUAUCAGAUCUCCCAUCAAUGGCACGCAGGAACCUUCAUCAAGCUGCCCCACCAAAAUCCUUCCAAAGAUAUUGACACUGCCUGAUGCUCAUGACCAACAAUACUAUGUAGGGAUGACACUUGUUGAAUGGUGAUGCCUGGGCUGAAUAAGCGGCUGCAAGGAUUUAUCCCAGAAAGUUGUUUUAAUAUUGACCCACUGAGAGAGAAGCAUGUUCCUGAGCAUCCAUAACCUCGGAAUUGAUCUUCUCUUUCCCUUUCUUUUCUGCUCCCGUGCUUAGAUCGAACAAUAUUGCGAAAUCAGUGAUACGAAAAAUCCUCUUCCUUUCUUUCGGGUUGCAGGCAACUUAGAGAAGAAAACAGGCUUACAUCUCGAAGCCACACUAGGUAGGGCAAGGAAUAGUCCCUAUCACGACUGGUUCUUUUCUUCUUCUAUAAGCCUCUGCUGAGCAAUCUCCCCAUUAGCAUCAGCAUUCCCUUCAUUCUCCCCCUCUCGACUAUCACCCUCGGUGCUAGCAGAGAAUUCCUCCAAGAACUGACUAAGAUCACCUCUACCUGUGUUGUGUAGUAUGGCUCAUGUUCCCGAAAGGUUACAUCCAUACUUGCGUAUAAUUUCCUCCCAAUAAGAUCCCAACAUUGAUAUCCCUUUUGGCUAGAUGCAUAAUCAAUAAAUAUACACCUCACUGCCCGCGGAUCCAACUUGCCAACAGAAGGUCGAUGAUCUCGCACAAAGCACACACACACAACCUUUCACUUUUGCUUAGGAGGCACCUUGAACUCCCUUUGGCCCAAGAGAAGUUCGGCUGGAGACUUCAUACCAAGUAUCCUAGACGGCAUACGGUUUAUGAGGUACGCUGCUGUCAUCACUGCCUCACUCGAUAAAUUCUUUGGCACAUUUAUCUGAAACAUAAGUGACCGUGCCACCUCCUGCAGAUGUCGGUUCUUCCUUUCCCUUUCCGCCACUCCAUUCUGUGAUGGGGUUCCAUCCAGUUCCAACACAAGUAGUCUGAUGAAUAAUCCCAUGUUCUGAUAUAUAAGCAUCAACCUCUCUAUUCACAUAUUCAGUCCCAUUAUCUGACCGGAGAAUCCGAAUCUUCGCUUCAAACUAAGUAGCCACCAGCUUAUGGAAGUCCUGAAACCAUCUCACAACCUCACGCUUGUGCUUCAUCAAAUAAAUCAAGCAAGUCAUACGAGUGCAACAGUCCAUAAAUGUAACAAACCACUUGAACCCGCUCACAGAAGUGACAGAACAUGGACCCCAAACAUCAGAAUGUAUCAAUAAGAAGGGUUCAUCACUUCGAAGGCCAAUGCUAGGAUAUGUAGACCUUGUAUGCUUCCCAAACGCGCAAGCAUCACACACAAGUAUGCUCUUGUCCACCUUCUUAAAAAAAUAAGGAUACAUACAUCCUACUCUUAUUAUCAAUGGAUAGCCCAAACGAAAAUGAUGUAGCAAGAUCUCUGCUUCAGGUCCUCUAGCAAUCACAGACAAUGCGACAUCCACUUGAUCAACCACAACCCCUUACGCCUGAUUCCAGACCCAAUCCUCUUCCCAGUGCCCUUCUCCUGAAAUAAACUCUAAUCCUCAUCAAAUGUAACAGUACAUUUGAAUUGCUCAAUGAUGGAGCUAAUAGAGAGGAGAUUGACCGGAAAAGAUGGCACAUGCAAAAUGGAAGGCAACACCAUAGACGGUGUGCAUUUUACAGACCACACUCCCUUGAUAAAUUGGGAACUACGGUUUGUGACGGAUUACCAUGAAAGCUGAUUGGAUAAACAAUCGCAUCGCACUCACAUCAGAUCAAAAAACGCAUAGAGAAAGAAUUGAUGCGGUCAUCCUUCCUCCGGAGCAAGAAAGGAAACUCCUCGAUUCAGCUUCGUUGCAAUAAGCUGCACUUGCGUCCCGAUUCGAGAUUGUGUGGGUGUAGAUAGGAAGAAGUCAAGGCUAUGUCUUUCUCUUUAGUUGUAUCCAGGUUCACCUAUUUUUUUUCCGUUGUUGCUCUUCAGAAAACGCGUAUAGUAAGUAUCAGUGGCCUUCGUCGAUGGGACCUCCAGUGUAUGCGUUACGAGGCAACUAGCCUUUUGUCAUUAAAGUUCGUGAAAGAAUGUUUCGUUGGAAAAACCAACGCCGAUCUAAAACUAAGUCUUCCUUUCAAAAGUGAGCGAGCAGAGCUAAAAAAGAUGGAGUUACCUGGAGAUGAGAUUUCUUUCUACGGAUAUGAAGGAUAGAAGAGUGACUUUGUUUUUCACCAAAAUCUAUAUUUGGGUGCGCUUUAUUUUUCCAUUCCAAAUCCAAAAAUUGAUAUUCUUGCUAUGGUUCUCCUUAAUAACGCUAAGAUUGUUGCUUAUUCUCUGGAACUUGUUCGAUCCUUUAUUUGCGACGGAAGCACUCGUCUUCGCUUCCUUCUAUAGCGAAGCUAGUGUUACUAUGUUAGGUGGUAUGAAUAUGAUGGGCGAUGACGACCUGUCCCGCGCCGUAGCCCCGUAUCUCCCGUAGGGAGGUCAGGCUCCAGUAAAUAUUCCCGAAGGACGACCGCUUACAGUGGAAGAGGAAGGCCGUCUUGCCCUGGUGUUGGAUUUGCAAAAUCAGAUUGGCACUCUUCUCAGGAAUAUCGAUCUUCACUCGUUCCGGAACCAUCACUUUGAAGAGGAAAGCGCCUCUGAUCUCGCCGCGGCGGCCCUACUCCAUAAAGAAGAAUAUCUCAAUGACCACACAAAGUUAUGGGAAGUGCGUGAAGGGCUUAAUCGUUAUAGAUUAAGCUCUAGGUUCUACUUUCGCGUGGUAGAAUGGGUCAAGGUCGAGAGAAAGGUUCGUAGCGGGGAGUUGCCAAGAACGUUCCUCAUUGAUGAUGACGGUGAAGGAGAAGGAUAGUUACUGGCGUUUAGCUUCAUCUAGAAAGAAAAUCGGCCUUCCACCACUAAAAAGGGUAAUACUCGCUCAAAGUGAUGAAAUCUGUCGAGGAAACAUAAGCUGUUUCCUGUGUAGUGAUCUCUGUUCAUGGAGGUCAUGAGGCCACUGACACCCUUGUGGGUAGGUGGGGGGGGNNN
rnacentral:lncRNA from 1 species